rnacentral:lncRNA from 1 species
AUUGUUCCAUUUAAGGCACUAGCUUACUUCCCUACUAUUCACAUGUCCUAACUAAAUGAUAUAGCCCCUUGUGGUGGCACUAUGAUGUAUGUUUUCUUAUGAAUUUUGGGAUGUCCUCCCUCUAAGGACCACAUCCGUAGUAUCACUCCUUAGGACUUACUUUCCUUUAAUGUGAGUGGCUUACUUAUAUCAAUAAAUCAUCUGUGGAACUUAUUUCUAGCUUAAUAUCUUGUCUUGGCCAGCUAACUAUCACAUACUUAUAAUUUUGGAACCAAUGGGGCUUCGGUAAUGCAUUGAAUCAUUGAAUAGAUAAUUGGGUUACUUCACUGUUAUUACAAAGAGCAAUCUUUUUUCCCUGUCAGUGUAGUUUCUUCUUUACAAGGUCCCUAUUUAUACUCUUCCUAUACUCACUUUCGCAACUCAUUCACUUUCCCAACUCACUCGCUCUUGUUUGAAAAUGUAUCAUCCUGUUGCAUACAGGACUCGAAGCAAGAAAGUCGGUGGUAAGUUGACGAUGGGUCGGAAAAGAAGAAAGGUGGAUGAAGAUGAUGAUGAAGUGAUUUGCUUGGGAGAUAUGAAGAAAGGUUUCCUGUAUUUAGGAGAGACUAAGGAUAAUCGUUCUGUAGGAGCUAUGAGAGAUGAUAAAGGUGAAAGCUUUGAUGAUCAUGAAUACGGUACUAAACCUGAAAAGCCAAUUAUUUUGUUGUCCGAUUCAUGUAGGAGUGGAGGUAGUAGUUUUGAUGAUGGAUAUGAUUCGUUGUGGUCUUCAACGGAGAGUGAAGAUGUUGAGACUAAUGACGAUGAUAUUAUGGCCCGAUUAUGAGAGUUAUGGGGGAUAUUUAAGGAUAGUUAGGUUAGAGCUCAAAGUCAUAUAAUGGAUAGUUGCAUGAAAGGGAAAAAAAAACCCACCUCUACACAUACCGUGCACGUUUGAAAAGAGAGGGAAGGAUCUGUGAGGGUUGGCUUGGCUCUUCGUCCGUGUUAAAGAACGUGAGGAAGGGACCUUUUACUUCCUCUUACUAGACAUCUUUGUAGUCUAAAACGCUUUCAAGAAUUCCAGGGAAACUAACUUUUAUGGUGAUUGUAUUUGUCAUGAGUGUUAUUGUCGUGAAUGGAGGUUGCUUGUGUUUUACCAUGUCGUAUGAAUUGUUGAAGAGGGAACCAUUAGAGUUGUUUUGGUUAUGAGAAAUCUUAGAUACACGUGGGGUAUAUAAAAUUAAUUGGAGAUGAUACAUGGGAAAGAGAGUUAUAACCGUGACAUAGUUUUAUAAACUCGUGACAUCUAAAAAAUCUGGAAUGUUACAAGUAGCACACAAUAUAUGUUAAAACAUUUAUUAAUGUAUCAUUUUAGUUUUUCAAAUAUAAUUUCUUAAUUUCUUUUUAUUAAUAGAAAUUAAAUACAUAUAACAAAAUUUCAAAAAGAACACAAUAACAUAUUAUUUUAACAGUUCGUUAACUAAACUGAAACAGUUAACCCUAAAUUUAAGUAUGAAAAAUAAAGAGCAGUAUGAGUGGUAUAAUAUAUUAGUUUGUUUUUUUUUUUCAUUAUAGUUAUCAACUCUGCUUAUGUUUUGUAAAUGGUAGUUUUUUUUUUUUCUUUUGUAUUAUUUAUCACAAGUUUCGUAUUAUUCCUCAUUUUUUAUAACAGUCUUCAUAUGAUCCCUCAUAUUAGGUUCUUGGUACGAUCCUUCAUAUUAGGAUCGUUUUCUUCGUAUGAUCCCUCAUAUUAGGAUUGGGUUCUUUCGUAAGAUUCCUCGUAUUAGAUUGAAUUACGUGGUGGAGUUUUUUGAUCCCUCAUAUUAGGUUCAUAUUAGGUUGGGUUACGUGGUGGAGUUUCUUGACUCUAUGAAUAUAAAUAUGCAUGGUGGGUGAUUCUUCUACAGCUCAAUAUUUCAGUAUUCUACAAUUCAUUUUAUUACCUAGUGUAAGUCUUCAAUGGACUCCCCAAAUGUUUCUUUCCUCAGCACUUGUCUGAAUGGACUGAAUGUUUUAUCAAGUAAAUAUUUUCUGUUAUUGUUCCUCGAUAAACAGUGGAUUUUGGUAUGUUUUAUGAUCAGGUGGAACCUUAAAUUAUUUGGAGAGAGAAACCUAGGUUUCUUUUCUUUUAUUUACUUUUUCCUUUAAAAGGAAAAGGAUUGCCUUAGGUUGGCUUUUUAUUUUUAUCUUUUUAGUUAAAAAAAAAUAAAAAUAAAAAUAAAAAUAUUCAACCAAGUUAAAUUCGUUUUUCCCAAUUUUUUUUCUGGUUCUCUUCCUCUUUUUCGUUUCGAUCCUCCGUAUUGUGCAAAGAAGAUGGCCUCAAGUUGGUCUCAUGGUGGCGAAAACGGCAGCGAGAGCGCUCAGGCGGUGUUCUCGUCUUUCUUGGUGGCUCGCAAUGACGCUUGGGUCGUUCUUCUUCUCCUCUUCUUUCCGUUCUGACUCGUGAUUUGCAGAGGAGAGACUUCUUUCUUUGGUUGAGGGUUGUUUCGCAGGAGGGAGGCGAACUCCGGCAGCAGCGCUGCGCUGGCGGGCCGAUGGCGCUACGAUGGCACGUCGAGGGCGCAGCGAGGGUGCGGCCUCUUCUCUGGUUCGGUUCGUCCGCUAAAAGGAGAAGCUUUGUUCUUCGUUUCGUUCUCUGAUUUGGGGUUGGGGUUUUGCAGGAAUUUCUCUUCUUAUUCCCAAAUUCUUUCUCGGUUCAAUUUUGGUGGUUCCUGUUUCUGGGGUUUUUGUCGCUUCUUUACAGAUAAAUGAUCGUGAAUUUGGAGUGUGUAUUGGAAUUAUUUUAUUCUCUGUUCAUAUCUGUGCAUUUAUGUUCAUAUAUUUUUAUACUUAUAUUCCUUUUCUAUAUUGCUCUAAAUAAUUAUAUAUAUCAAUUGUACUCUCUCCUUAUUAUUCAAUAAGAAAUACAAUAUUUCAUUCUUUCUUCUUUUCUAACAGUGUGGUUUGAAGAUUGUUGUUCUAAUCUUAAGGUCUGAGAUUAGGGCUUCAAUUUGAUUUUUCCUGGAGGUUCUGUUCUUCACGAAUCUCGUUUCUUGUUGGAGUUGAAACCGGCUUGGCCAUGGUAGUUUUCGCUUGUUGGUGGUUGUCUGAGUUGCAGCAGGGAGCUGCGGGCAGUCAGGGGAUUGCAGUGACCUCCCACGUGGAAUUCCUUUUGGGCCAUGGGUGAAUCCUGGGUUGAAUUUGAAUAUAUUGGAAUGUAGGCCUGUUGAUUGUAGUUGGUUCAGUUUAAAACCUAAUUGGUCUGUUAGUUCAAAGUUUGGAAGUUUGGAUUAUUUGGAACUUAGGUCUGUUUUUAAAAUUAAAUUAAUGUAAUGGGAAAUAAAUUAAUCAAUUGAUAUUAAUUAAUGAAAAUAAACUGGAAAGGAAAAGAGAAAAAAAGAUUAAUUUAUAAUAAUUAUAAUCAUGGAACAAAGUUAUUACUAUUUAUUUAGUAAUUAAUUGAAAAUCAAAUUAAUUUACUCGAAAGAGAAAUUAAUUUAGAAUAAGAAAGAAAUUAAUUGCUUUUAAAAAUUAAAUAUUUUAAAAUUAAAAUUAAAUAUUUUGAAAUUAGAAAUUAAUUUACUUUCAGAAAAGAAAGGAAAAUAUUGAGAUUUUAAUGAUUAAUUAUUUUUAGAUUGAAUUUUGAUUCUUAAAAUAUUAUAGAAAUUUAUAUUAGGAUUACAUAAGAUUAUAUGCUAAUGUACAUUGAUGUAUAAAUGGUGAAAUGAGAGAUGUGUGGAUUAUGUUUAGUUAGUUAUAAAACUAAUAAGAGAACCAUUUCUUCUUGUUCCAUAAAUACUGUAUCCUUCUUUCGUAUGCCUUAAUAUAAGGCUAAUGUUUUAUUUCCGAUUUUGGUUUAAUUUUCAGGUGUUGGUAUACUCUCAGUUCCUUAUGCUCUUGCAAUAGGAGGUUGGUUAAGUUUGAUUCUUCUAUUUUUAAUUGCCACUGCUACAUUUUACACUGGCCUUUUAAUUAAAAGAUGUAUGGAUAACAAUUCAAACAUUCGAACCUAUCCAGAUAUAGGAGAAUUUGCAUUUGGAAAAACAGGAAGAUUAAUAGUGUCAAUAAUAAUGUACACAGAACUAUAUUUGGUUCCAAUAGGAUUUUUGAUUCUAGAAGGUGAUAAUUUGAGCAACAUGUUUCCUAUUGGAAAGGUUCACAUAGCAGGCUUAGGAAUUGGUGGGAAACAAUUAUUUGUGAUUAUUGUUGCUCUUAUCAUUUUGCCCACAGUUUGGUUGGACAACCUGAGUCUACUCUCAUAUGUAUCUACAACUGGAGUUUUUGCUUCUCUUCUAAUAAUCCUUUCAAUAACAUGGACUGGAACAUUUGAUGGAGUUGGUUUUCAUCAUAAAGGAACUCUUGUCCAUUGGAAUGGUCUCCCCACAACUGUUAGCUUGUAUGUCUUCUGUUAUGGUGCACAUACUGUCUUUCCCAUGUUGUACAAUUCGAUGAGAAACAAACAUCACUUCUCAAAAGUAAGCACUCAUUUUUUAAUAUUAUUGUCCUAUACACUUUCUUGUUUUUUUCUAUCUAAUUAAUGAAUUUUACUUUUCUGAACAUUACAGGUCCUACUGGUAUGUUUUCUCGUAGCCACUGUGGGUUAUGCAUCCAUGGCAAUAGUGGGUUAUUUAAUGUUUGGUGAGGAGGUUAAGUCUGAAGUAACAUUAAACCUGCCUCUAAACAAAGUUAGCUCAAAAGUAGCAAUAUACACCGCCUUGAUGAAUCCCAUAUCCAAGUUUGCUUUGAUGCUAACCCCUAUUACGAAUGCUUUGAAAGACUUGCUUCCAACAACCUACAAGAAUAGGGUGACGAGCAUCUUACUAAGCACAGUGUUGGUAUUGAGCAUCACUAUUAUUGCCCUUGCUGUCCCUUUCUUUGGAUCUCUGAUUUCACUGGUUGGAGCCUUUCUAAAUGUCACAGCUUCUAUUCUGCUUCCGUGCUUGUGCUACUUGAAGAUUUCAGACACUUACAAGAAAUUUAGGUGUGAAACAGUAGUUAUAGUGAUAAUGAUAAUGAUAGCUAUUGUAAUGGCAAUUUCAGGAACCUACAUUUCUCUCAUGGAAAUAGCACACAAUCUAUAAAUGACAAUGUAAUGAUCCAUGCUGUUUACUGAAUAUAUGUUAGUGCGUUUGAAAGUCCAAUCAUGCAUGUCUGUUGAAAAAUAUCUAGUCAAAUCUCUAUUUGUUUCAGAAUGUUUAGUCAUACACACAGGAUAAACGAUAAUUAAAAAUAAAUAAAAAAUGGAGCAUAAAGCCAGAAAUUAUUACUUCAAAAUCAUAAAAAGAUUAUAUCAGAAUUAGGACAGACUAUAAUUACUGAAAUAUUGAUUAUUUAUACUAUUUUACAUUAUAAAAAUUGAAUUACUUUUUAUAAAAACUGAAUUAUAUUUAUUUGUAAUUCAAUUUAAAAAAACUGAAUUUCUUUUAUUAAUAAUUUAGUUAACUACUUUAAAAGGGUUAAAGGGUGGUUCAUCUUAUCCUUUUGGAAGUUCCAUUGGCAUGGAUUAGAAUGCAAGUAUAUGAUCAUGUGCAAUGUCCCACGCUCUUACAAGGUCAUUAAGGAGCACCCCAUAUUCUUUAUCCAUGGCUACCCCACAACUCCAUUUCCGUCUAGGCAUUUUCUAGUUCUUAUAACCAUAUACCUAACCAUGUGAACUUUGCUAACGUUAACCAAACCAACACCAACAUUCUAAUUUCUCUUGGUAAUUAAUGCCUUACACUCCAACGUUAGGUUUUGGGCCCUCCCACAAUCAUCCAAAUUACUGGUUUUUGCGUGUAAGUUGUCUAUUCAAAGAGGUAAAUAAAUUGGGUUGUAACAUACCCUUAUUAUGGUCUCUGACAUUUCUACCUAAUUGUCACUUUCAACUGCACAAGUCUCAGAAAGUUGGAGUAAAAACCAGCUCAAUAUGAAAGUUGUGCUUUGGAGAUCACAGCUAUUUGUGACAAACAAUUGCAUUAACAACUCCCUCUCUGGGCCUACAUGCCUCUUUCUCCCAAACACCAAUGCCCCAGUAUCAAAUCAUAGUUAAAGAAAGUAUACAAAUUAAUCAAUUUUAGGAAAUUACCAUAAUUCCUAAUGUUAUGUCACUUCACAACUGGCAAUUUUGUUCUUCUGCUUGCAAUCAAUAAUACAAUAGAUGCUUAUUAAAACAUCCUACACUUAUGGUUAGGGAUACUGAAUAAAGAGAGAAUAUUUUAUGUUAGUGUGACGUAAGCCGACUAAAGACAGAAGAGCUAAAGUUUAAUCAUGGAAUGGCGUGUAGACAAGCGCUGAAUCGAUGCAUAGAAACUCACAAAUCACAUAAUAGCAAUAGUAACAGUACUGAUAUUAAAUUUAUGACGAUCAAAACAGGAUAUCAGGUGAGAGUAGCACACAUUAUAUGUUAAAACAUUUAUUAAUGCAUCAUUUUAGUUUUUCAAAUGUAAUUUCUUAAUUUCUUUUUAUGAGUAGAAAUUAAAUACAUAUAACAAAAUUUCAAAAACAACACAAUAACACACUAUUUACUAAACUAAAACAGUUAUAAGUUUAAUUUUUAAAAACUGAAUUAUAUUGAAAUUUUAGUAAAAUGGAUUAGUAUAAUAUAGUACAGUUAACUAUAAAAUAUUAGUUAUUUUUUUCCAUGUGACAUCCCAAAAUAUCAUAUUCACAUAUAAUAUAAUAGGAUUCAGCUAUUACAAUAUGUGAAAGCAGUUAAGAGAUAAAGAUGACAGUAUUUAAAUAUUUAUACAUUCAUCCAAAUUUAGUGGAAAUUAAAACGAAAUAAAAACUUGAGUACAGGUUCCCCAGAGUUCCCCAAAAUACAUGAUAAAAUAAGGAUCCAAGGAUGCCUAGAGAGUGUUUCCAAAAAUAACAAGCUAUUGAAAUAAGAACUAAUAAACGUCCUAAGUACUAGGGGCUGGAUCUUCCUCAAUCUCCAACGCUUGCUCCAAGGGUACCUCAUCACCUACUGCUUACAUCCAAAGGAUUGGAUGAUCAUCGCAAAGGGGAAGGCAAACACAUACAAACAUACAAUGCAAGGGUGAGCUGGGUAUAUAAAAAAAAAGCAUGUUAUCAAUCAAGUAUUUCAAGCAAGUAAGGACCAUAACACCAUACAGACUAUGACCAAAUGUAUUUUGUUGAUACCAAGGACCGACCACGUGAUUUGACCAUCCAGACUAGUAUGAAAUGUCGAGUUCCAGGGGUUUGUGCACCCGGGUGGUGUAGUAACUGGAAAACCAUCAACUGCCACCCGAGGUUAGUCCGUUAUAACUCACCCAAGAACCUAUGGGCUAGGACCUCCUGCUAUUCUCACCACAUGAAUCAUCACUCUCUACUUGAGCAUGGAUGAUCAUUAGAAUGUCAGGAUAAACCCCAUCCUGAACUCCGGCCAUUCAUACGGUCAAUCACAACAACUACAUGGCACCAUCAUGUAACCUCCCUUGAGGAUCAUGGAAUUACGUCCAUUAAUCAUACUUUAUACAUACAUGCUUUCAAACUAUAUUUCCCAACAUUUAAUCAAUUCAUAAUCCCCUCUUGUUUCAUCAAACAUAGAAUUUUAUAGUCAUCUAAGUGUAUUCAUGCUAUAUUAACUCAUACCAAACCCAUAUAUCAUCACACAACAUCAACCAUGUCAUAAAACAACUCAUACAUUACAUACUUUCACAAAACCAUCACUUAUUAACACAAAUUUCUUUAUGACUUUUAAUUAUCAAUACUUAAGUAAUUCAAACAGCCAUGAGACCCUCACCAAUGGAUCUGGAAGGGUCAAAAACCCCUAGAACGACCUAGAGAACGUCCAAAACGGACCUCCGGAACUCUCGAAACGUCAAAAACAAAAAUGACAGCAGAAACAGUGUGCUGAAUGGCGCCCAGCGCCAUUCAGGUGGCGCCCAGCGCCAGGAAACAGAACCAAAUGGCGCCCAGCGUGGAUUCUGCAGGUUUUAUGCAGAGUUUGCACAACUCACACCCCUAAGUUCCGUUUUAGACCUUUUUAUGAAUUUCUAAUCAUUAUAACUCGAAAUUUAGGUGUAUUGAAACUUGUCUAAAGGUGUAUAAACAUUCCUAACCUCAAUUCCUAACAACUAUGCAUAGAUUUACACUCAAAAACCUCAAUUCUCUUAACUUAUCUAUCCAAAUCUAAUUCUACUAGUUAGAUACUGUUUUUACCACUUUUAAGGCUUCUAAUAAGUCACAAUUGACUCAAUCAAAUUGUCCCCACUGCCCACUUACACCCUAGAUCUCAAUUACUCAAAAACACCCUCUCACUUCCUCUAAACUCACUUAAAACACUAGUUUUUCCUCAACUUAAGGGCUCAAUUCUAAAUUUAUCACUUAAGGACUGUUUUUGUUCAUUUUGACACUUCUAACAAGUCAUAUUUGACUUAUCUAUGUGGUCUAAACUGGUCAAUACUCUUUAUGACUCCAACUUCCAAAUUUGACUACCUUAGUUCCCUUAAUUUGAUCUAGUAACUUCCUAACAUAGAAUUAUAACUUCCAUAAUCAGACUUUGUUAUUUAUGAUCUAUAUUUUCUGUUUUGAGCUGCUACUGUAUUCUUGUUAAUGUGGUGAUAGUUCACUAAGAAAAUGUGAAAUAUAUUUUUUUCUGAUUUUUUCUAUAUACUAAAAAAAUUAAUAAUGUGAAUGUGACUGAAGUGUGUCAGGCCUAACCAUACUUUUCCAUUUUUUUUUUAUACAAUUCUUGACAACAUUUGCUGUUAUGGGUAGAUAAAGAUAAAUUUUACAGUAAAGCCUGAUUAUAAAAUAAGUUUACUUUUUUUGAUGAUGAUAAUUGUCAUCAUUAAUAUGAAUACAGGUGAAACUUAUAUAAACUGCAGAGUGGUUGUGUUUUCAUAGAAAUUUCGGCAUUAAAUAAUAUAUAUUAGGAAAUUGAAAGAAAUUGGGUGCAAGCUUUUAUUUUGUUUCUUCUUUGCUUAAUGAUGCAGUUUCAGGUUCAUUUAAAGUUAUGUUAAGUGUUGCAAAUGAUGAAAUUUGGAGGAAGGCUUGGUGUUCAAUACUUGGAUGUUGGUUCUUGGUCAACUAUUGCAGUAGCUUUAAUUCUUGCAUUUUUCAGCUAGAUUGAGGUUGAAGUGAAUUCAUCAUAUUGAUUAGAAGUUGUUGGACCUACUUUAGGUAUUAAAAAUUGGCAGAUUUUGGAGUCUGGUGCAGCAACUUGUUUCUAGAAGGAAGCUGGACGUUGAACCAAUUUUUGGCUUGCAGGUUUUUGGUGCAGUUUUAGCACUGUUGGAGCAACCAAAGGUCUUAAAUGGAACUCGAAAAGUGCUUCAUGAUGCCGCUUGAACUUGGAUAGUCUUUAUUAUUAGUUCUCAUUUACAUUUGCUCUUCCAUUGUCAACUGUUUUCUUAUGUAGAAGUAGAAUUUAAAUGUUUUUUCUCUGUACUGAAGUGUAAGAACUUGUAGUGUUGUAGUGUUGUGACAGCAAGUAUAUUAUGUAAAAGACUACAAACAUAUUAUGCAAUAUUACUUGAUUAUAUCUCCUUUUCAAUUGUCCUUCUCUAAUAGAAAUAUUAGUAGUUAGUUUAACUUAUGUCAUGAAAAAUUUAUAAUCUAAAUUAGUGGAAUGAAACUAAAGCCUUUCUACAGUAGAAAUAGUGGAAUUACUGAAGGCUUUUGUCCUUCGGUAAACCGAAGGCUUUUGACUUUUGGUAAUUACCGAAGGCUUUUGGUCGUCGGUAAUUACCGAAGGGCAAAAGCUGUCGGUAAACGUUAGCGACAAAGAUUUUACCGACGACCUUUUGACCGUCGCUGAGUCGUCGGUAAUGGGUCUUUACCGACGCUUCUGGCGCUUUCCGAGGGAUUUUGACCUUCAGUAAUACCUUUCAUUACUGAAGUGAUCUCUCUCGUCAACAACUAUAUCAGAUUUCGUAAGUCAAAAAAAAUUUCGUACAAUCCUUCCUUUAGGGUCCUUUACUUCUCAAUGAUGAGGAGAAAGCCAUUUCCUCUUGUCCUUCUGCCAUAGAUACUGUAUCCUUCUUUCUUACAUGCCUUAAUGGACUCAAUACAAUAGGAGGUUAACACAUUCAAAAUAUAUAAUCUGUUUCUUUUAUAGUUGCCUCAACCUAGAUGUUUAUAUGUAAAAACAUAAUGUAAUAUAAGGCUAAUGUUUUGUUUCCGAUUUCCAGGUGUUGGCAUACUCUCAGCUCCUUAUGCUCUUGCAAUAGGAGGCUGGUUAAGCUUGGUUCUUCUGUUUUCCACUGCCGCUGCUGCAUUUUACAUUAGCCUUCUGAUUAAAAGAUACAUGGAUAAAGACUCAAACAUUCGAACCUACCUAAUAUAGGGAAACUUACAUUUGGAAAGACAGAAAAACUGAUAGUGUCAAUAAUCAUGUACACAAAACUAUAUCUGGUUCCAAUAGGAUUCUUGAUUCUAGAAGGUGAUAACUUGAGUAACAUAUUCUCCUUUAUGAUGAAAACCAACUCCGUCAAAUGUUGCAUUCCAUGUUAUUGAAAGAUGAUGAGAACAGAAGCAAAGACUCCACUUGCAGAUAGAUAAGAGAGUAGACUCAAGUAUUCCAACCAAACUGUGGAUAAGAUGAUAAAGGCAACCAUAAUAAAAAAAUAAUUGCUUCCCACCAAUUGCUAAGCCUGCUAUGUGAACCUUUCCAAUGGGGAAUAUGUUGCUCAAGUUAUCACCUUCUAGAAUCAAGAAUCCUAUUAGAACCAGAUAUAGUUCUGUGUACAUGAUUAUUGACACUAUUAGUCUUCCCGUCUUUCCAAAUGCAAGUUCUCCUAUAUCAGGGUAGGUUCGAAUGUUUGAGUUGUUAUCCAUGCAUCUUUUAAUUAGAAGGCCCAUGUAAAAUGCAGCAGUGAGAAUUAAAAACAGAAGAACCAAGCUUAACCAGCCUCCUGUUGCUUCCAAUGAAGUACAAGAAUAGGGUAACGAACAUUUUUAUUGAUCACAGUGUUGGUAUUGAGCACCACCAUUUUAUUAUUGCACAGUGUUGGUAUUGAGCACCGGCAAUGGAAAACCAUUCAUUCUACUCCUCUUGGAAAUAAGGGUGAACAAAAGCAUAGAUAAAUUCAAUUUGGUGGUAGUGCUCAACACAGGUGAACUUUUGCCUUUUAUUGUUUCGAAAGAAAGAACAGUAUACUUUUUUAUGUUUGAGACACGUUUUUGUUAUUAUUAUCACUUUUUUAUUUAUCUAUCAGUUUGACUAGUGGAUUUUAUCACUUUGCCACUGGUUUGGAGUUUUUUGCCCUAGUUGUGCGAAAUGAUUUUAGAUUCAACAGUCUACUAUUAAACCAAUUUGUACAAAUUUUGCCUGUACUUCUGUAGCCAAGCCCAUCAUGGUUUUAGUUAUGGUCCCAUCAAGUGAUGUAUAUUUUAGAAGAAUCAUUCAUUAUUCAUUGAAUAAAAUUAAUCACAGUUAGCUAUUCUAUAUUUCAAGUUUCUUACAUCCAUGAAAUACUACAGAUUGUUUAAACAACACUAUGCUAGGCUUCGUCCUGUCCUUGAUGAGUAAUCCUUGUUAAAAUACUGAACACUUUGGAAAGGUCUGUCUGUCUGUGCUACCCGUCACACUGAACACUGAACAAUUCAAAAUAUGGGAACUUCUCAAUUUGUGCAUGGCCUCCUUUUUCCUGGUCUGGGAUCUUCCCCGAAACAAAAAUUGAUAUCAGCUCAGAACAAGAUAGUAAUUUAAUCCGAUAUUUUAUAUAGCAUGCAAGUCCUACUAACAUGGAAUUCAAGUGACGCUUGCUCUUUCUACCUUUUUCUUGGUUUUAAGCUGUUACAGCUUUUUUUGUUGAAGCUUGAAUUUGGUGAACAGGUAGUUUUGGCAAAAUAGAGAGUUGAUGAAUAUACUUACUUUGAGUUGAUACAACAGAUUGGCACCCAACACAGCGUAAGUAUUUUCCAUAUGAAUUGGGUUCAUUCAAAUUGUAAAAUUUUCCAGUAAACAAGGAAUAGUUACUCCAUUGUAAUAAUCAAGAUCUUUUUGUAAAAAUUUUUAAACCCAUUCUAAAAGGUGGCAUUUUAUAGUUCAUUGAUAGUGUAACAAAAUUAUUUGAAAAUAAAAAACCAAAAUUAAAUUACUUGAUAAAAUAAAUUUAAAAACUAAAAUUUAAAAAAAAAAUGGAUGUGUAUAUUCGUUUGGCCCUGAAACGGAUGUCGAUAUCCGUCGACGGAUAUCCACAUCCGUUAGGGCCAAACGGAUGUGCGACAUCCGUUUAUACCUGGACGUCUUCUUCCUCAUACGUACACAGACAACCUCGCACAGACCCACAGCAACGGAAACACAUAGAGAAAUGCAGAAUCUUAAACAAUAUAUUAUAUACAUUUACAAAACAAGGUUCGAAGAACCUACCUUCUCGUAAACCAAGAGUCAAAAACGAACACACUGCUACAUCGCUGCACACACCUGUCACGCCGUCACACACACCAAAGGCUGGAAAGCACCACGAACACUACAAAAAUAAUAUAUUUUAAUAGGGGUUAGUGUUUGGCGGUUUUCAAAACCUCCAAUAAUUUCUGCGGUUAAAACCAUCCCAAACUUUUUCUUUUAAAUAAUUUUCUACUAACCCUAGUUUCCUCUCCUUGCUUCUUCAUUUUCUCCUAACCCAUUCCCGCUUCUCAACCUCUGUGGUCCCAUUUUCCCUCAAUCAUAUCCUUUUCCUGCUUCGUUUGUUCAUCUUCAAAGACGGUGUAGGGCUCUUGGGGCUUGAUCGCAAUCGAGACUUGGAAACAAAUCUGUCAAGAAGAGAAACAAGGAUGCCCCGUCGCGGAGAAGCUGAUAGAGUCAUACCUAAUCCACUGCAUGAUGGCCUCCGUCCGUGGGUGUGGUGGCAGCGGUGUUUUCUUUGCGACAACGGUGCUUCAGCGUCUUCAUUCUUCGUUGGCAUCUAUGAAAGAUCUGGAAUGAAGGCUCCUCUGAUUGCUGAUGACAUCUAUGAAAUUAUCAUCAAGGUAAUUAUACUUUUGUUGCCAUGAAUUUGAAAAUUUUCUGUCUGAAUUUUUUAUUUGUUUAACUGUUUAUGUAUAAUGGAUCUGCUGUUGUAGUUGGAUCAAGUUUCAAAAUUAUGAGUUGUAGGCCAUUGAGUGUUUUAGUAUAAUCACUUACGCUGUGUUCUUUUCAGUAGAAGUUACUGUAUAAGCGGAUUAGAGAAGAUGAAUUUGCGAGAUGACUCGUGUUCUCUUGCAGUUGUUUGCGCUGAUUUGGGAUGAAACAUUUCAGCUGAUUUGCCAAAAUACACUGUGCAUCCGAUCCCGCAAAUAUGAGAAGAUUUGCGCUGAUUGUUACGGCAAAGACGUUUCUACCCCUGUACGAAAAUAACAUUUGCAACAGCAAGCCAUGCACUGUGCCUUGAUAAGACCGAACCCAUGCACUGUGCUUUCACGAGUUUGCACUGCCUAGCAUGUGAUGCCCCUGCUGCUCGGCGUGAUGCACUUUGUUUCACACAAAGCUUUUGUAGAGCACUGCCUCUGCCUAGAUUCCCUGCGUGACAAAACAAUUCGAGGAGAGAAUCUGGCUGAUGUUUGAAUUUUAAACCCCAACUCCAUUAAUAAGACUCUGCUUGGUAGAUAAGGUUGGUGUGUAUUAAAUCGUGCUGUGUUUACAUAGAGAGGAACUAACAACAGAAGAUAUUGACAUUGAGGAGGUUUGGGUCUUGAGAGUGAGGGGCUGUGAUAGAGCGCAGGUAAUCUAUGCUUCCAUUGUUUAUGUCUUUGUUGCAGGUUUGUUGCAGGUUGAAGCCAUUUCCAACAUGUGACCAACACAUUUGGAGAGGAAGAAUGUUGUUCAUGAUGAUGAAGGAGUCCAUGCAGCCAACCAAACGGCAAGGAGGGAUUAAACAAGGGAAGAUUUCAUGCAGGAAGGAACACCCAGACGCCGUGUUGCAGCACUGUGUAAGUGUGAAAGGAGGGCUAUCCGGAUACAUUCAUGGCGUAUCCGGAUCCAGGGUGCUGUUCAAAAUCCAAUAACGGUGUAUCCGGAUACAAGUAGGGCGUAUCCGGAUCCACUGGAACAACUUCCAUGCACCUCACGAUCCUCGUGACGUUGUCGGCGUUAACGGCAGUUGGCGUUUCCGGUGCCGUCUUCUCCACCAAGUUCGUCUCUCUAGUUGGAGGUGGUCGAAGGACUUCGAAGGUUGGCGUUCGGAGUGGUGUUCGGAGUGGCGACGGUGGCUUUGGUGUCCACGAGAAGGGCAGUGGGUUGGGUCCUUGAUGCAGCCCUUGCAGCAGCAGCAACACAGAAGGGAGUUUAACCAUUUCGUUAUAUAAUGCAGCAGCCUAACCAUUUGUAUGCCUUGCAGGUUUUUUUCUAAGCAAAAGGUGCUUUUGAGAGGCUACGGAGGUCAAGUAUUUACCAUCGUUGUGGUGGUUUGUGGACGUCUUUGUGGUGGUUUGUGGACGUCUUUGCUGAGAUUUAUACUGUGGAAAGGAGUCCCUCCAACUACAACUUCGUAAAGUAAGUUGUGAAGUUAGAUACUAUACUUUGUAAGAAUUUAUGGUUAACCAUUGUAUGAUAUAACAUAUUCAUGUGUUUAUUUUUUUAACAGCUUGCUUUUGGAAUUGUGACUUCGUUAAAAUCUUCGUUGAAAGCAUGUAUUCAGCAUUGCUUCAAAUCUUGGUUGAAAGUAUCAUCACUGUCUUCAAGAGGUACAUAUGAGAUUGCUAUGUUUAAAUAAUAUGAAUGAAAGUCUGCUUUUUUUGUACUGGACAUGUAUUUUGUAUAGUUAUUAUAUGAAUGCAUAAAUAUAUUUAAUGAAUAGAUUAUUAUAUGAAUAUAUGAAUUUAGUAAUACGGUUUAUUUGAGUUUUGUUUUUGAAGUUGUUAAAUUGUAUAUAUUUGGUUAUUAAAUAUAUUAGAAGAAGAAUUACAUUUAUGAACACAUAUUAUGUUUUUUGUAUUUUUAUAACUAAUUAUAUUAAUAUAUAAUGUAUUAUGUUUAUUUAAUGUAAUGAUGUAUUAUGUGAAAAUUAAUAUAUAAUAUUUAUUUAAUGUAUUAUGUGAAAUUUAAUGUGUAAUAUUUAUUUAAUGUAACAAUGUGUAAUAAUUAUUUAUAAUAUUAAGAUAUGAUGUAUGAAUGUAUGACCAUCUGUUUGUUUGAUUAAUAUAUGAAUGUAUGAUUUUAAUUAUAGUAUUUAUAUUUGGUUAAGUAAAAAUAGAUGGAAGAAGAAUUAGAUUUAUCAUAUUUGGAUCGUGAAGAUAUAGAUGAUGAUGUGCUUGGCGUAGACUUCAAUAUUAUCUCAAUUAUACAAAGGCACUUAGAAAUAACGACUGCUAUGGCUUCAGUAACAAUGUUAUGCAUUGUUGCACACGCAUUGACUAUAUUGGAAAUGUACUGGAGUGAUUCUAGUAGUGUAAGUAUUUCCCUACCAGAAAGAGAUCGUCGUAGGGAGAAAUUAAUGUCAUAUCUUGUGCACACUAAUCGGUGCCACGACAUUAUUAGGAUGGGUCCAGAGGCAUUUAUUAAUCUUUGUGAAAGACUAAGAUCAACUGGGUUAGUUAAGGACAGCAUUCGGUCGACAGUCGCGCAACAAGUGGCUCAAUUUCUUCAUAUAAUUGGCCAUAAUGUUAAGAAUCGAAGUGUCGGUUUUUUCUUCCAUCGAUCGGGUUCGAUGGUUAGCAGACACUUUCACAAUGUGUUGGCUGCAGUUAUAACUUUGGAAUCUGAAUUUCUCAUCCAACCCUCAGGAAAUCAGGUUCAACCAUAUGUCUUGAACAACAAUCGAUUUUACCCGUACUUUAAGGUACCGAUUCAAAAACAGUUGUAUAGUUUGUGUGAUUAAGUUUUGAUAACAAAUGUAGACUCUUAUCAUGUAUUCAUAUUUUUAUGUUUAGGAUUGUUUAGGGGCCAUAGANGGUACUCAUGUUCGUGUGAAGGUUCCAAGAUCUGAUGCUCCGAGAUUUCGAGGAAGAAAAGAUUGGCCNACUCAAAAUGUGUUCGCUGCGUGUGAUUUUGACAUGAAAUUCACAUAUGUCCUUGCUGGGUGGGAAGGCACUGCAUCGGAUUCAAGAAUUUUAAAAAAUGCUCUUGAUCGAGAUGAUCCGUUAGUUAUCCCCCAAGGUCAGUGACCACAUUACGAUNUUNNNGNNUAAAUAGCGAUAUAUGUGANUANUGACUAAUUAGAUGUACAUGUCCNAAAAUGUAGGAAAAUACUACCUCGGUGAUGCUGGAUUUAUGUUGAAAAGCACAGUUUUGACUCCAUAUAGAGGCGUCAGAUAUCACCUUAAGGAAUAUACACGUAGAGGACCACAAAAUGCACGCGAGUUGUUUAAUCAUCGACAUUCAUCGUUGAGAAAUGUUAUUGAAAGAACUUUUGGUGUGUUGAAAAAAAGAUUCCCUAUCAUUGCAAGUGGCACUGAACCACACUAUGAAUUGGAGACGAUGACAGAGAUUAUCUUAGCAUGUUGUAUCUUACACAACUUCCUUCGUAGCGUGGAUCAUGAUGACUCAUUACUUGCCGAAGUUGAUAAUGAGUUGACUGAAAGUGAAGAGCAUAAUGUGUCAUCGUCUCAAGUUAGGGAAGAGGAUCAUAGGAUGGGUAGUAGUAUUAGGGAUGCCAUAGCAGAUCAUAUGUGGCGAGAUUAUCAGAACUCUUAGUUAUUGUAUUUUAUUUUGAUUGUAUGACUCUUUGUUGUUUAUAUUUAUGAGAAUGAAGAUUUAUUAUGGAUGUUUACUCUUCAUUUCUAACUAAUUUGUUUAUCAAGUAGGUAUAAAAUGAAUAGAGGUAAGGCACACGCCACUGAGUCCUCUGCUCCUACUAGAGAGUUCAUAAAAUGGACUGAGGAUAUGGACGCACGUCUCCUGCACUGUAUGAUUGAGGAAUCAAGGAUUGGUAAUAGGGUUGAUGGGAGUUGGACAUCCCAAGCGUAUANUAAUAUUGUUGAUCAUCUACAUGAGUCUGGGUAUGUCGCCAUAACAAAAAAUAAUGUUAAAAACCGUCAGAAAGUCUUGAAAGAUAAAUGGCGUGAGGUUCAUGACCUANUUUCUGGAUUAAGCNGUUUUGCUUGGAACCCCAUUACUAUGCGAUUUGAUGCAGAGGACGAAGUCUGGAUGGACCUCAUUCAGGUAUAUUAAAAUAAAUACAAAGAAUUUGGCAAUAUUCAAUAUCACAUAAUAUGAACAAUUAUAUUUGUCAUGUUUGUUGUGCAGUCGAGGCCAACCGCGGCAAAGUGGAGAGUGAACAGUAUCCGCCAUUACGAUUUAAUGGUGGAGUUAUGGGCUGCAGAUCGAGCUACAGGUAGCGGUGUUCGGACCGCUNGUCAAAUACGNCGAGGACGGGAUACGCUUCGUGUUAAUGUUGACCUCAAUCAGAAUAUUGAGUACACUCCUGAGCAGCCAGACUGGAUGGGGUAUAGAGACCCUACUCCGCCAUCACCUCCACCCUCAGUUGAUGAAUAUAGUCCAGGUGGGACUCAAUCUGUGCCUUCAGUCCCAUCCGGUGGGACUUCAUCCUCAAGAGGUUCGAAAAGGAAGGCAGCUAUGGUGGAUGUUGUUGAAUCCCAAUUUGAGAAGUUCACUACNAGCCUGGACGGUUUCACCAAUGUCCUUAGUUCAUCAAAUGUUUAUUUUGGUGUUAUUUCUAAUGCAGCAGUUGAACAGGUCACAACCAUGAAAGAAAGAAAUGAAAUACUACGUCGGUCCACAAGCUACACUUACACAGAAUCUGACAUUUAUAAUGUGCUGACUGGUAUGAACAUAUCUGAUGAAUCCCAAUUGGACCAAUGCUAUGACUUCUUAUGUGACAAGCCCAAAUGUGUUAAGAAGUUGAUGGGACUCCCACCUCACAAAAGGUGGAAUAAAUUAUGUCAAAUGUUCUACAGCGGUGAUUCUUAGGCUGUAUUAUGUAACAACUUCUAUUACAUCUUUAUUAUGACAUGUACUAUUUGGAUGUCAGUAUGACUUGUUAAUUCGGAUGUAUGAGUAUUGGACAUUAUUGUUAUGAUUAUUAUGUAAUGAUUUCACUUUGCUUCUAAGUAAUUUAAAUAUUCACUACUAUGUUAUCACUAACGUUUUUAUUCUACAAAAUAUUGUUUUGUUCAAGAAAUUCUUAAAUGGCCUCUUCAUCAACCAAAAGGCCUAGAAAAAGUCGCAAGGGAAAAGAGACUCAAAAUCAGACAGAAGAUGCAGCUAAUAUCAGACCAUUUGAUGAAGAACAAUUAGAUCAGCGUCGUUUUUUCACUCACAGCCAUCAAAUGGAAAACUAUGCAGUUGAUUUCUACACUAGGAAUAUUGUUCUUCCAAAGAUAAUGAAUUUCGAAUCAUUUGNCGGUUCAGGAUUAGUUUUCCAACAUAAUCUUCUAUUUCAAGGGGUGGUGGAAUUUCUUACAUUGCAGGGACCCUUUUAUCCAGACUUAAUCAAAGUUUUUUACUCAAAUCUGAAGAUUUCUGGAAAUGGAUAUUUGAUGAGUGAGGUGAACAAAAGAAGAAUUAGAUUGAAACCAGCUGAUUGGUUGAAUGUUGCUAAUAUGAAANNNNNNNNNNNNNNNNNNNNNNNNNNNNNNNNNNNNNNNNNNNNNNNNNNNNNNNNNNNNNNNNNNNNNNNNNNNNNNNNNNNNNNNNNNNNNNNNNNNNNNNNNNNNNNNNNNNNNNNNNNNNNNNNNNNNNNNNNNNNNNNNNNNNNNNNNNNNNNNNNNNNNNNNNNNNNNNNNNNNNNNNNNNNNNNNNNNNNNNNNNNNNNNNNNNNNNNNNNNNNNNNNNNNNNNNNNNNNNNNNNNNNNNNNNNNNNNNNNNNNNNNNNNNNNNNNNNNNNNNNNNNNNNNNNNNNNNNNNNNNNNNNNNNNNNNNNNNNNNNNNNNNNNNNNNNNNNNNNNNNNNNNNNNNNNNNNNNNNNNNNNNNNNNNNNNNNNNNNNNNNNNNNNNNNNNNNNNNNNNNNNNNNNNNNNNNNNNNNNNNNNNNNNNNNNNNNNNNNNNNNNNNNNNNNNNNNNNNNNNNNNNNNNNNNNNNNNNNNNNNNNNNNNNNNNNNNNNNNNNNNNNNNNNNNNNNNNNNNNNNNNNNNNNNNNNNNNNNNNNNNNNNNNNNNNNNNNNNNNNNNNNNNNNNNNNNNNNNNNNNNNNNNNNNNNNNNNNNNNNNNNNNNNNNNNNNNNNNNNNNNNNNNNNNNNNNNNNNNNNNNNNNNNNNNNNNNNNNNNNNNNNNNNNNNNNNNNNNNNNNNNNNNNNNNNNNNNNNNNNNNNNNNNNNNNNNNNNNNNNNNNNNNNNNNNNNNNNNNNNNNNNNNNNNNNNNNNNNNNNNNNNNNNNNNNNNNNNNNNNNNNNNNNNNNNNNNNNNNNNNNNNNNNNNNNNNNNNNNNNNNNNNNNNNNNNNNNNNNNNNNNNNNNNNNNNNNNNNNNNNNNNNNNNNNNNNNNNNNNNNNNNNNNNNNNNNNNNNNNNNNNNNNNNNNNNNNNNNNNNNNNNNNNNNNNNNNNNNNNNNNNNNNNNNNNNNNNNNNNNNNNNNNNNNNNNNNNNNNNNNNNNNNNNNNNNNNNNNNNNNNNNNNNNNNNNNNNNNNNNNNNNNNNNNNNNNNNNNNNNNNNNNNNNNNNNNNNNNNNNNNNNNNNNNNNNNNNNNNNNNNNNNNNNNNNNNNNNNNNNNNNNNNNNNNNNNNNNNNNNNNNNNNNNNNNNNNNNNNNNNNNNNNNNNNNNNNNNNNNNNNNNNNNNNNNNNNNNNNNNNNNNNNNNNNNNNNNNNNNNNNNNNNNNNNNNNNNNNNNNNNNNNNNNNNNNNNNNNNNNNNNNNNNNNNNNNNNNNNNNNNNNNNNNNNNNNNNNNNNNNNNNNNNNNNNNNNNNNNNNNNNNNNNNNNNNNNNNNNNNNNNNNNNNNNNNNNNNNNNNNNNNNNNNNNNNNNNNNNNNNNNNNNNNNNNNNNNNNNNNNNNNNNNNNNNNNNNNNNNNNNNNNNNNNNNNNNNNNNNNNNNNNNNNNNNNNNNNNNNNNNNNNNNNNNNNNNNNNNNNNNNNNNNNNNNNNNNNNNNNNNNNNNNNNNNNNNNNNNNNNNNNNNNNNNNNNNNNNNNNNNNNNNNNNNNNNNNNNNNNNNNNNNNNNNNNNNNNNNNNNNNNNNNNNNNNNNNNNNNNNNNNNNNNNNNNNNNNNNNNNNNNNNNNNNNNNNNNNNNNNNNNNNNNNNNNNNNUAUCACAUCAAUCAAAUCCUACACUAAUUCUCACAAACUUUACCCUCAAAUCCACCCUCAAUUACCCACAAAUCUACUCAAAAAAACAACAACAAAAUUACCCUCAAAUCCACUCAAAUCCACUCAAAUCAUCUCCCCCAAAUCAUCUCCCCCUAAUCCUUUCAAAAGAACAGAGGCUUAGUAUGGCUGUUAUAUUGUGCAUUUCUGAUUUGGUUUGUAUUUCUGAUGUUAUGUGCUUUAAAUUUUGUUUGGCUAUUGUUUUGGUAUGAUGGGAUUUUCACUUGUCUUGUUUUCUGUUAUGCUUCAGAAUGCUGCUCGAUUGGAUAGUGAAAUAAUCUAUGAUAGGGACUUUAACUAUGAUUAUUUUGGUUUCAAAACCCUUGAGAGGUCCUUCCUCUUAAAGGUUCAAGGUAAGGUUGUGGAAAGACUACAACACAUGUUGAUGAGGGUUGCUGUUGGAAUUCAUAACGAAGACAUCGAUUCUGCUGUCAAAACAUACCACCUGAUGUCUCAACGGGGGUUCACUCAUGCAUCUCCAACUCUUUUCAAUGCGGGAACACCUACACCGCAGGUACAGUAUAUGCUAAUGCUCUAUAUCUCCAAAUCUUUCUCUUUUUGUAGGCAUGCAUUUUUGAUAUUUGAUAAUCCAUAACCACCCUAAUGCAGUUUAGCUUUAACGUUGUAUAGAAAGUAACACAGCAUACUUCAACAACAUGGCAUGUGAUGUGACUAUCUCUGAUUCAAGUUUAUCAUAAUACAGUCCUACUUGUAUUUGCACUAUUGUUGUCGUGUACCAGUACGGCAUGUUGCGGGGUCCAUUGAAAGAGAUAGGAAUUUUUUAAAUGGAAAGCCCUGAAAGUGAAAAUGCUAGUUUUAUGUGGUCCAUUUCGUUUUGCAUCAACUAAUGGCUAAAUUAUCUUCAACACCCAGCAGCUACUUCAAUAAUGCCUGGUCGCCUGCACUUAAUAAUAAAUCUUUGAUUAUCGAAGCUUUGUGGAAAGUUCUAACUUAUCACUUCCAUUGCUUCAUACAUAAAUUUGGAAGGCCCUACGUAUGCUAGUUCAAACAAUUGCCAUGUGCUUUGAACCAAAGGGCAACAUAAAAAGACAAGCCAUAAUGAAGAACAACAACAGCCAUGUGAUUUGGCAAAGAAAGCUCCGGUUUUCUGUCUGAAAUCUCAAAAGAGUAUCUAGCAUGGCUUGCUAUGUGUGCACAAUCAACGCUAAUUAAUAUAAUUUCACCAUUUGUUUUCCAAGCUUGGACCCUUGUGUUUUUCUACAUUAUUUAUAAAUUUUGGCUACAUUUCUGUAAGUGCUUUGUAUGUAACCCUUUUUCUGUUUACUAAUAAUAUCUCUCUUUUCCACCAUUUGCAGGUUCUUGAAGAUCCAGAGACCACAAAGCAUGAACAGCCAUUAGCAUUCUCUUGAAUAAAUAGUAAAUAGUGUAUUUCCAGCAGCAAGCUGUGAAAUAAUCUAAUUGUUAUCUAACUUUUGUUUAUAUAUGCCAUCGUAUUGUUGUGUGUGUGUUCAUGUGGAAUCUUGCAACAUUUUUCAGGAGCAGAAGUUGAGAAGGAUCUUCGAAUUCAGAAGAGCAUACUCCCUGCAGUUGGCCAGGUACUUUUUCUUUUUCUCGUGUCUGGACCUUCUUAGUGGGUUCCACCUGCCUAUAAUUUCUUCAAUAUUACAUGUUUAUCAUUCUUAUGCUGUGAGAUUUAACUGUCUAUUCUGUAGCAAAACUUUCUACUUUCAUUUGCUAUGUAUUGUUAUUGCAUCUUUUGUUCAGCACAUUGACCAACUUUAUUAUUGGAGUUGUUUUCUGUUUGUGAUUUAUGUGGAAAUGGAAAUUGGUUAUCAUGCUUCCAGAGUUAGAAAAUAUGAAUUCGUCAUUUGGUUAGUUGAAAAUUAAAAGCAAGACUUUUGCUAUUUCUUAUUUCUCUUUAUUGUUAUUUGUCAUUCAUGUAGAUAGAAAUAAGAGCUGAUCUGAUGGAUGCCCGUAUGCGUUCAAAAGGUAUAUUCAUUUUCUUUUUAAAUUCCUUCCUUGUUCUUUUGUCUUGAAUCACUCAUUUUUGCAUCCUGAAACAAACUUUUGUUGCAGAUCAGUUCUACAAGAAGUUCUAGAUCAGAAAAGUGCAUUUCACAGCUUAAAGCAUGAUGUAUUGCCAUAUCUAGUCUGGAGCCAACUGGUUAGUUGUUAAUGGUUUUUCACGAGAUAGGUUAGGUAUUGUUGAACUUAUAAGGUGUUGUUAAUGGUUAGUUCCUAAUUAAACUAAUCAACUAAUGAUUUAGAAGUGUAUCUUUGGCAUUAUAGCUAUUGUUGUUUUAAAAACCGAAAUACAUAGGAUUUUCAUUAUGAAUUAUGCCUCUCAAUGCAGUGUCUGAACACUUGCAGACUCUUGAAAGGUAGAUUUUUUCUAUACUGAGAAAAUAUAAAGUUAUAAUAUUAAGCUAAUUGUAGAAAAUUAAUUUCAUCAGAAAACAAUAUGUGAGUGAAGAAAUAUAAUAUUUACUUCAUGAAUUUGCUAGAGCUCCUGCAUGUGUAGCUGCAAAUGAUGUCACCUACUACACGGGUCAACACGAUAUAGAACAUGUUUCCUAACUUGGAACUUUAGAAAUAUAAAUAAUCAUACUUUUUAAUUAUUUAAAAAAUUAAUUAGAAUGCAACUCAUGGUCAUCUGGCUAACAUGAUCCAACUCAAUUUUCUGUAAUACACAUAUGAACAUUUCUGUUUUAUACUUGUAUCUCAUGCAUAAUUUCAGUUUAUAUUUCCUGUUUGGUAUUCCAGUUUGGAGGUGUUAUUUGGUGGACACAAUCAACAAGCAUUCUUCGAUAUUAAAGGUACUUGCCAUUUGCUCACCUUGAAUGAGAUCAAAGUAAAAUAUACAUCAUUAUAUAAGAAUGUUCCAAUGCAUCAAAAGCUAAUUCAAGUAUGGUAUUGUUUGGGUUUGAGAUUUGCGGGGAGAUCAAAUCAGAGAAGAAAGGGGUUAAUUCUCUUCUAACAAUCCAUAUAGAGAUUCAUAUAAGGUAAAGUAGAUGAUGCCCCAAUAUAAGCAUCAAGUGAGAAGAAUUUGUUAGGUACUUUAGAACAUGUUUAUUGUAAAAAUAUUGUUAACUUUUUCAUUUUGAGGAUAUUUCAUUGUAUCUGUUUGUGUUAUUUAUAUGUUAUUUACAAGUUUCAGGAUUAUAUUCAUUAUGACUGAUAGAUUUAUAACCUUGUUUAACGUUGAUGGAGGAACUGGACCUUUAUAUCUCAAGUCUAUCAAUAUAUGUAACUCAACAUAUUUGAAAUUGAGGUAGUAGCUGAAUAUUGCAAUUUAAAAUACAGGCACGAAUAUUCUGUUUGGUGUGGUGCACAUGAACUUGGGAUUAUAUUAAGUUAUUUCAAUGCUCAUUUCUUUGGCAGAUCUUUAUCAUGUAAUGAUUUACAUGUUUUUAAGCCCUUUCGACAAUCUUGGUGAGAAUCAAUUGUUUUGGGGUCAAAGACCACUUCAAGUAUGAUUCAUUUCUUUACUUCUUUAUUGCUUAAUAAUUGUUCCUUUCCUAUUUUACGUCAUUCUGAGUUACUGUGCAUGAUAUGCAGGUUGUGUUGUUGCUUUUAUCUGUAAUUGCAUAAAGUUGAGGAGUUUAAUGCCAUGGGAAAAGGGAAGCGUAACUAGAAGCUGGUAUCUUAUUUAUGCCAUUGUUUUCUUUAAUUUAUUUAUGCUUCUUUUAUUCUAUUUUCUAGCUAAGCAUUAAUAUUUACUAUUGAUAUCUUGCCUCUAAUUGAUGCAAGAGGCUUCAAAUUUGAGGACAAAGGUGAAACCAUAGAGAUCAUUACCUCUCCCAGAAGAAGAGUUAUGGAGAAGGAAGUGUGUGAGAAAGAAGAGAACUCCACUUGGGAGGAAGAAAAUAAAAGUGGUUUCAACUUGUGGAAAUGGAGUUUGACUGGUGUUGGAGCCAUGUGUUCUUCUUUGGAAGCCAGCAAAAGAACAAACUAAAGCAGGAUCAGAAGAUCCGGUUCCAGAUCUAUGCUGAUGACAAGGUAAGCUAAUCUCAGUUUUUUUAUUUUCACUAAGUUUGUUCCUUGUAAAACUGAAACUGCAAUAUCAAGAUUUUGGAGUUUCAUUACUGUAUUCAAUAUUGGUUUUUCUAUUAGAAUGAAGAUUCAAUUCUGUGAUUGAUGCUGACAUGUAAUGAAAACCUUUUUAUAGCAUGAAACAUUGAAGUAGAACUCUGCUUUCAUUUAUCAAUCCUAAGAACUGUAUAAACUUAUCUUUUUUAAAUAUUCAGUACAUUUGUGACUUUUUAAAGUGUCAACUAUGUUUGGUUACAGUUUUUGACAAGAUCAUAGAUCAUGAGUAAAAUUCUGAGAAUGAUUUAGUAUUGGGUUUUGUUGUUUGUUUGUUUGAGAAAUGUCAAGGAAAGAAAAAGUAUGUUUACUUGUGGCAAGAUUUUUGGAAUCUUUUGGUGAUUGCAAUUUGGAAUAUUAAAUAGUUUACUGGUUUUGGUCCAAUAUUGUUUUAAUUGGUUGUUGGAUUUUGAAGUAGUGAUUGGUUUGGUUGUGAUUUCAGAGGAUUAAGCGAGUGGUGCAGCAUGCAACCAAAUUAAAUGAUGUAAUUUCUGCAGCAAGAGGUAUUCCUAUGAGCAGAGCUCAUAUAAGUGUUGGGGGUUAUUAUGAUGAUCUGUGAAGCAUUGAUUAGGUGAGUUCAUGAAGCGAUUGAAGUGUGCAAUGGAUGAAUAGUUCCAUAAGAUCUAUGAAUCUGGCCAUAUUUUAUAUUGCUGUAAAUAACUGAUGCCAAAUUUCUGUCAAAAAGAAAACGAUGAUGCUAGAUUGUUGAUGUUUACUCUGUAUUUUUUGUGAUCUUGUAAUUUAAGUCACAGAUUGUAGGCACUUCUAUUAUUAUUUGAUUAUUUUUGAAUUAGUAUAUCAAGGUGUUUCUAGCUGUUUUGAUUUUAGUAAUUGCCAAACUCAGUUAAAACAGAACAGGAAAUUAAAAAUGAGUUUACAGUAUGUGUAUAAUAUAUAUAUAUAUAUAUAUAUAUAUAUAUGUGUGUGUGUGUGUGUGGUUUCUCAUCAUAUGUAUAAAUGGUUUUCAAAGUUAGAAUUGAACAUUUUGUUGUUGAUCUGGGUUCCAUUCGAUGCUAGCAAAGGAUUGCUAGGAAAAUAAUAUUGAUGAGUAUUAGAAAGAAAACUAAAAAAUAAAAGACACGAAAGGACAUACCAAAACUAGCAGUUCAAGUAUCUUUGGGUGACUAUUUUGAUGGAAUGAUUUUGAAAAGGGAUUAUUGAUAAAUAAAAAUAAAAAUUUGAGCUAUUACUACAUUUCCGGCUGUUUUUGAAAACCACUGGAAAUAGCGGUUUCUUACAAAACCGCCGGUAAUGUUUAGCGAUACUGUUUUUUCUGGCGCUUUCCCCAAUCACGGGAAACACAUUUUUCAGGAGUUAAAAUCGACGGAAACGCCAAAAAUAACCUUUGGAAAAAUUAUAUAUUUUUGUAGUGGAAAUGCAGAAGAGAAGAAAAGACUGUGGAGAGUUGGAGUCAAAGUUUUACAAAAAAAUAAAAGGUGGGACUGUUACUUAAUUAAUAGGUUAAACAGUAAAAAAUAAAGUAAAAUAGUUAAAAUAAAAUUAUUUAGGUAAUAGAAAAAAAGUUACACAAAAAUGAGGAGGUGAAAAUGGAAAUAGGAAGGUGGAGGAAAUAACCCCCGUCAAGUUUGGUGGCAGUCACAACACAUGCUCGCGAGUGGAUGGAUAUCAUAUAACAUGAUAUGUUAUUUUAUAGCGAACUAAAUUUGAGAAAAUCUUAAUUGGAUCAUAAUACAUAUAGUUAAAACAUAUCUCAACACGGAUUUUUUUAGUAACAUAUUUAUACACUAACGUCUUGUUUUUUUUAUUACUUAGAAUACAUUAACACAAUAAUAAAUAAAUAAUAAAUCAGUAAAAAUAACACAUAUCCAAAAAAAAUUAUGCCAAUAGUUUUGUAAAUAUAAAAUUGUUCUUAUAUGGGACUUAUUUAGAAUAUAUAUUUUACCUUUGUUUCAAGUAUUAUCUUUAACAAGGUGAAAACGAAUCUUAGGAAUACAAAAUUCACUAUAAUAGUAGCUGUUGUGCUUGCUAAUUGUUUUUUUUUUCGUUUUGGCAAUCAUUGUGUUCUUUGAGAUUUUUUUCAUAUGAUAUAGAUGUUUUAGUUUAAGAAAAAAGUCAAAGAUAUCAUUUAAAAGGAAAAUAUGUAUUCCACUUUAACAGAGAGAAAGUCAUGUUCAAAAAAUAUCUACUUGCUUUUUCAACUUUAUCAACCAACUUAUUAAUAUGUAUACUAAAUUCCAAAUUCAUAUUUUUAAAAAGUUUGUUAUAUUCUAAAUUGAUAAAAAAAAAUGUUAUAGAUUGUUCUCAACUUGUUAUGAUAAAAAAAAUACUCAAUUUUACAUACAACAUAAGAUUUAUUAUAUUCAUUUUAUUUUCUUCCUUCUCAACAUGAUUAGAGAACACUAUCUUUAUUUUGCGACUAUUCUCUUUAUCAUUUAAUAAUCACACUGAAAUUUCAUCAUACAUUUUACCUCUUUCUUUAUCAUUACACAUUAUUAAGUAAUAGUUUUUCCCAUCUUUAUGGAAUACAACAAUGAAAAAAAAAUUGACAAAACAUUAAAUUAAAACUAUUUCACAUUUGAAAGGUAAGAUGCGACAUCCCAAAAAUUUUACGUUAAUAUAAUUUUGAAUGAUUAAACAUUAUAAUAUGAUAGAACAGUUUAAUUAUAAUAUGAUAGAACAGUUUAAUAAUGAAGAUAAAGUUAUAAGUUUAUAGACAUCUAAAAUUGACCGUGAAUUUAAAACUUUACUUACAAAGGAUGUAUUUCAAAAUAGCUAAGUCAGCUAAGAAGAAUCCUAAGAACUAGGGAUGGCAACGGGUCGGGUUCGGAUCAGGUAGUGUGAUAUCCGAACCCGACCCGCAUGUAAAAAAGUGUACCCAUACCCGCCGGAUACCCGCAUAAAAAAAAUCCGCGGAUUUUUUUCAACCCGCGGAUACCCGUUUCAACCCGCAAUUUUUUAAAAUCGAGAGAGUCCAAACUUUCUUUUUAGGUUUUCUUUCCUAAUCUUUAAGAUGGGCCAAGCCCAAACCUUUCUAGGGUUCUCCUUUUCCCCUUCCCCUCCAUCUUCUGCGCGUAGCCAACAACAAUAACCCUCAACCCAGAAACAAUAACCCUCAAGAGCUCGAAUUUCCAUCAGCCAAAAACAAUAACCCUCAACCCAGAGCUCGAAUCUUCAUCAGAACAUUCAAAACCUGCAAGAGGAAACAUAAUCACCGAGUCAUUAGCCUCUCACCACAGAAAGCCCCAAAUCUAUGAACCCUAACUGCAGGGAAAACCCCAGAAUUGUGUUCUGCCUCCAUCUUCUUCGAUCAACAAAAUCGCGAGCAUCAUCUUCCCUUUCAACGGCCACCAUGAAUCGCAUCACCUCCACGGCCACCGCAGACUCAGUCAUCACCAUCAUGCACGCCUCGUCGAUGCACUCCGAGUUGAAAAGAAGAGGUUGAACGGUUGAAAUCAAAAAUCAAUCGGCGGAAGUGUUUGAUCGGUGGGAAAGGUGGAAAAAGGCGUUUUAAUCGGUGAAAGUAUAAGAAGUGGUAGAAGAGAUGUGAAUAUGUGAGGAUACCUGAUUUGGAAUAGUGAGACGCGAAAUAGGAGCAUUACACGUUUGCCUCUGCCUGAAAGUUUCUUUUUUUUUUUCAACAGUGAAAGAAGCAUUCAAGGAAGUAGGAGCAUUGUAGCAGGAGAUGAAAAAGCAUGUUUUGUUUGUCGUUACCGUUGACAGUGGUGGGAAUGGAUACGUUGUUGACAAUGGUGGGAAUGGAUGUGUUGGUGGAGAGCAGGCUUCUACGGGAACGCUACAAAGAUGCAUACAGAAUGAAACCCUAAAAAAGAGAUUUGGGCUUUGGCCCAAUUUUAAAACAAAUUUAAAAGAAAAAAAAGACUAACUAAAAAGGUAGAAAAAAAAAUUUAAGAAUAAAAUUGUAAUUUUAUUUUUUUAACGGGUAACGGGUAUCCGCGAGUAUGGAUAGUGUGAUACCCGAACCCGACCCGUUAACAAGCGGGUAUUAAAAUACCCGUUACCCGCUACCCGCGGGUACCUUUUAUCCACGAAUAUUAAAUACCCGUAGCGGAUUUUAUCCGCGGAUAUCCACGGGUACGGGUUUUUUUCCAUCCCUACUAAGAACUAGGCAACUGCAUCUUUUUCAUUCUCCAGUGCUUGCUCCAGGGCACAUCAUCAGCUACUGCUCACAUCCAAAGGAUUGGAUGAUCAUCACAAGGAAGAAGGUAAACACAUACAGCACACACAAUGCAAGGGUAAACUAAGUUCAAACAAACAUACAAGUCAAUUUAAUUCAAUCUAAUAUGUCCAAGAACAUUCACACAUAUGCACUUGUAGGUCAUCAUCGACAUAAACAUCAUUUUCAUACAAUUUACCAAAACAAGUAUCCUAUCAUGUGAAGACUUCUAGACUCGUCCGGACUUAGAAUGGAUGUAGAGUUGGGGCAGGUUGUGCACUUAUGCUGACAUCUACUGCUUUGCAAAGUCAUUGCCGAGGGAUUUCACCCGACCACACACAAGGUUAGUCCGUUACUACGGAAUAGAUAUCUAGUGAUAACGUGAAAAAGAAAAGGGCUGAAACUUUUAAGAUAAAGUUUUACUAAAAUUUUAUUUUUGCUACUAAAAUUGGUCCAACAAUUCACUGCCACAUGUGCACCACUUAAGUGACAUUUUUCUCCGACCUUACAUGAGACUUUUGAAUCAUGGAAAAAUAAGAUUAAAAUAAUUUUAAAUUUCAUACACAAAUUAAAAAAAAAUGUAUAUGUCAAGUCAAUAGUCAUAAUCAAAAUAUCUUUUAAUAGUAAUUAACUUAAAAAAUAAUAAUAUACAAAUAGUUAAGUAAAUAAAAAAUAAAAGAACACUACAAAAUUUGAUAUUAUCACCAGUCAAAAUUUGUCAAUAAUAUUUUAAUUUUUUUAUAUAUAAUCAAAAUUAACGACAGUUUAUUGAUGAUUAAAAAUUAAUGAAUAAAUGUCAAUAUGAUUCAUCUUAUUUUUUCACAUUUAAUUUAUAAACAUAUUUUAUCAUAUUAGACAAAACAUUUGAUUUCCAAUCAGCAGAAAAAUUUACAAAUAUAUUUUUUUUCAAUAAUCAAAAUUUUAUUUUAUAGACAAAUCUUGUUCGAUGAAUUUUAAAAAAUUCAAUUAUCAACAAAUUUACACUAAAUGAAAGUGAGAAAUGUAACGUCAUUUUAUCAGUUAAAAAAUUUGUCAAUAAUAAAAAUUCUAAAUUACUAUUAGGUUUUACUGACUAAAUUUAUCAAUGGAUAUUUACUCAUAGAUAUGUUUCAUUAGUAAUUCAAAUACUAAUUUACUUACGAAUUUUAUUAACAAAUUAUUUAUGUUAAUAAAUUUUGUUUUACAAAAGACUUAUUUUUGUUGGUAAAAUUUUGUUCAUAAUUAAAGAAUUUUUUAUAAUGUAAAUUAAAACCAAAGAGAAUAUAAAAAUAAAAUAAAAAUAGUUUUCCCUUGGUGGUACCAAUUAUCAUCUCUAAUCAUACUAUCCAUAUGUAAAAGCAAUAAUAUAUAAUUAGUUAAGUAAAUAAAAAUAAAAUUAUUUAAAAAAAUAGAAAACAAUUGAAGAUAGUGUCGUUAGUAAAAAAACACUUUUUAUAAUGUUUAUUUAUAUUGAUUAUAAUUCAUCGAGUAUAAAAAGUAGAGUGGUAACAUAACUAUAAAUAAGAACAAUUUUUAUGUCCGUUAUAAUUAUAACAAGUAUAAUAAAUGAACACGGUAACAUUUUUGUUAAAGAAAAAAAAAUUAUACCAAUUCUAGUUUUAAUUAGUAUAAAAAGUGAACACGAUGAUAUUUUUGUAAUAAAUAAAAAAAUUUAUAUCGAUUCUAAUUAAAAAGAGUACAGAAAGUGAACAUAGUAACAUUUUAUAAUAAAUAAGAAAACUUUAUAUAUUAGUUGUAAUAAGAAAAGUUUAGGUGACCUUUCAACCUCUCUCAUAGGUAUUUACUAUCUAAACUUUCUUCUUUCAUUUCAUUUUUCAGUUAGCGAUUGGGGUAAAAUGUGUGCAUUUUUACAAAAAUUAUAACCCAAUUGAGACAGUUCAAAACUUUAGGACCAAACUGAGAUUUUCACACAAAUACGAGGACCAAGAAGGGAUUAAGCUAACAUGUCAGCAUACCACGUCAGCUAAACUUAACGCCGUUUGAGAUCAGUUAACGGUUGGGAUAAAAUGUGUGCAUUUUUACAAAAAUUAUGACCCAAUUGAGACAGUUCAAAACUUGAGGACCGAACUGAGAUUUUCACACAAAUACGAGGACCAAUUGAGGUAUUAAGCCUUUUUUAUAGAUAUAAUAUAUUCGAUUCAAUUCUAAUUUUAUGUUUAAAACUUUUAGGUUAUUAAUUGAUACAUGAGCGAUAACUCUACAUUUUCAUUUUUUUACAGAUAAAUGGUAAUGAAAAAACAGAACUAGCCUUUGUUUGAACAUUUCGCUUUGUAUAUCAAUUUUACUUUAACUUAUAUAAAAAGUAAAACUUUCUAUAUCAAUUUUAUCAUAUUAACAUGCAUCGAAUGGUAAUAUCCGAAAUCUUAAACAUUCGAUCUUCACUUCUGAUUUCUACAAAUUCAAAUUUUUAUAUCUGAUUUUUUUCAUUUUCAGUUCUUUUUUUUAAUUCGAAAUUAGUUUCAUUAGUUUUAAUACAUUCAUAAAAUUAUUUUAUAUUAAUUAAAUUAUAUAAUACAUUAUAAACUCAUAAAUAAAAUGCUAAAAAAAAUAAACUAAUAUAAAAUGAAAUGAGGUGAAAGGUUCAGGGGGUGUAGGUUUUUUUAUAAAGAUGAAAUGAGGUGCAGAGAUGCAAGAAUGUAGGAGUGCAAGGGUGAAGGGAUGUCAGGUGCGACAGUGAUACAUUUUUGGUGAUGGGAAGAAAAUGGAAGUGGAAUCAAUGUUUUGCAUAGAAAUCUUUAAUAAUAAAAAAAUAAACUUUUAAAUCAGUUACUAAUUAGAAACAUUUUAGAAAAUUAGAGGUACAAAUCCUUGAAAGUGCGGCCCAAACAGCACCAGCCCCCUGCUUCUCUUGAUUUAACUCUAGGCCUUUCCAACAAGGGACAUUCCUACAAUUUAAAAUCAGGACCUAUCAGCAAAUAAAAGUAGGGCAUUUCAGCAAUUAAAGAAAUUAAAAUAAAAGUAAAGAAAAAGAAUUUUUAUUGAAAGAUUUUCUAAAAAAGAAUAUUAAUUUCUUAAUUACCAAAAAUACUCUUAAAAACUUAUUUUUAACUAUGAUUUGACAAAAUUACAAAUUUAAAUCAAAACCUUAAAACUAACCUAAUUAUAGAAAAUUAAAAACUAAUAAAAAAUUAAAAAUACCUUCUAAACACGAAAAAAAUGGAUGCGCAUGAAUUUGCUUGAAGGAUCUCAAGCCAUUGCUCUUGUGAAUCAAAUCCUAGAGAACCGAUUUCAGAGAUUGCCCAGCCUUGCUCAUGCUAGUGAUCAGUGCUCAAACAAUUCAUCCAAAAUCUUUCACUGUUUAUGAGUGGACAUAGCCACGCUUAGUUAUUGGCACAAAAUCACAAGGAGUUUUAAGUUCCCACAUCUUCUAACCUCAUUAACUCGCACAUAUAAUUGCUUCUGAGUAGGCUCGAAUUAACUCGCAAACUCCGCGCUUCACUUGUUUAAAAUAAUGGAAAUAAAUAUGAUUUAAAACAAGAGAUAUAAAUUUAAUAAGGUUUAUGUUUAAUAAGAAAUAUUAACUUUAAUAUAAGUGUACUGUAGUUUUAAAUUUUUCAUGAAAUAUUAUUUUUAAUAUUUUAAUAUUUAGUUUAUUUUGAGUUUAUUAAUGAUGAUAAUAUUUAAUUAUUCACUUUUGGUUUUAUAUAACAUUUUAAAUUUUAUCAUUGUCAUGUGAAAAUUUUUUAAACAUACUAAAAGUUCAUAAAAAAGUCUUUCUUUUACAAUUUUUUAUUCUGAAUUUCAGAUGCAAAUUUUGUUACUACAUUUUUACCAUGUAAUUUCAAAUUUAAAACUCGUUACCAUAUAUUUUAAAUGGUUGGUUAUCUUUUAUCUUCUAAAGUUUAAAGAAAUUAUAAUUUUCAUAUUUUAAUAAUAUACUUAUGUUAUUGAAAUUAUUUUUAAAUCAUCAUUUAAAUUUACAUAAUUGGAUUUGAAUGAAACAUUAUUUGUAAUGAUUAAUUAUUUAGUUUAUUAAUAAUGUCAUUAUUCAAUUAUUUAUUUAUUAUUUUACAUCAUUAUUUAAUUAUUAUUAUUAUUAUAUCAAUAUUAUAAUGUUAUUGUAGUUUUAUAUUAUUAUAGAAUUUUAUUAUGUGAUAUAAUACAUUAUUAUUUUUUUUUUAAAUUAUUAAAUUUGUGGAAUUUUUCUUUUUUCAAAUUUUGUUCCCAACUUAAAUACAAACUCUUCUUAUUAUAGGUUAGGAAACAAAAUAAUAUAAUCAUUUCAUCCUACAAUCAUUUCAUUUUAGACUUCCAAUUUCCUAAAAUAUCCCUAAUCAAUAAUAAGAUAAUUAUUUGUUAAUUUUUUGUUUAUUGAAAAUUUCUGUGUACAUUGAUUACACUUCCCUUUUUCUCUUAUCAGAAAACAUACAUUCUUGCACCCCUCUACCUCCUCCACCUCAUUUCAUUUUUAUUAAUAAAUCCUACCCACAUGAUUUGCACGUCUCAAAAUCAUUUUAUUUGAAAUAAAAUUUAAUUGUUUGUAAUAUUUAUAUCAUUAAGAAAUUGUCAUAUUUCAUAAAAACUUUAACAACAUUUUUUCAAAUUAUAAAGCAUUCCGAUCCCAUAUCAAACCUACCAUACAAUCUCACAUCUACUAACAUUACAACAAAACAUAGCAUUUUCAUUUGCAAUAAUAUAUCAGAAAACACUAAUUGAUCCUGCAUAGAAAAGAACCAGCCACUUCCCAAGGGAUGGGCAAACUGCCCUAUAAUGUACUGCACUAUAAAAGUUUAUAGUUAAAUAUAAACUACUUCAAAAAAACUGUACUGCACUAAAAAAUAGUUCAGAUUGAACUGCACUAAAAACCCUAAUACAAUAUCACAUCAAUUCGUCUCCUCAACCAGUGACUUUAAAUAUCUCUUCCCAAUGCCCAUUUGUUGACAUCCCAUUCAUCUUAAAUGAAUUUCACUAAUAUAAAAAUCUAGUAAUCAGACUUCAGAACAGGAAAAAAAAGUCACCAAACUUCCAAAAUCAAAAAAUCAAUUUCUUUAGAAAGAACAUUAACAAAGUAAAUGAAAGACACAAUAAUUAAAAUCAUAGCAGAAGUAAUAAAACAAAUCUAACACGCUGAAUAACAUCACUUCUUUACAAACUCAAGAUCUCAUCCUAAAUCAUUUAAGGUAAAAAGGCUAAUUAAUUAAUAAUCAAGUCCAGAUAACAAUCUUAGUGGGGCCAGGUCCGGCAUAUUAUCAGAACAAAAUAGCCUUAAAGAUCAUUCUAUUUUUCCUGGUACAUUCCUUCCAAAGAUAGUCUUAAAGUAAACCACUAGUUCUCCUGAGAUUGAUUACCACAACGGGUACAUGUAUAGAAAGUAGUUUGCCCUUCAUCUGCUGAUCUCAUCUGAAAAAAGAAUGAUUGAAAUAAAUAAUUAUGGACUUUAAAUAAGAUUAAGAUCAAAUUGCCAAAUAUACAUUAUAAAGUCUAACGAUACCUGUCUGGUAUAAAAGUUAGCUUCAUCAUGGCCACAUUUUUCACAUUUUUUGUUGACCUGUCAAGAAAUAAUACGUUUUUUUAGAGAAGAAACAAUAACAUUUGAAACAUUCAAAUAUCUUCUUAAAAACCAAGCUAUAUUUAAUAUUGAAUGAUGCCAUUACCUUCGACAAUUGCACCUUCUGUUCCUCGAUUAUUUCCAUUCCAAGCUCUCUUCUGAUCUCCUGCAAAACACAAGGUUACUUUUAUUUAAAGAAGAAUUGCCAAUAGUGUACAUAAAGUGAAUAUGUCCAUGGUCAUGAUAAAUCACAAAUUUGGCUUAUUUCAGUUAUAUGAGACUCAAGCUUCAGCUAAGCUGCUGCAAUUCUUGGUAGGAAAUUUAAAACCUAAAAAGUUAGCAAUCCUGACUAACUGUGCCAGAAUUUUCACAAUAACAUUUCACCUCAACUUUCUAUCAUUGCUGCAUUGAUCUUAAAAAUCUAAACCCAGGUCCAAUUUCACUAUGGCUACACUAAUCAAAUUCAAGUAACAUGAGAACUAAUCGUGUAUACAUAAACUUGAAUGUUCUUCUGUUACUUUAAUGCAAUACUACCAAUUGAUCUGUUAAAUUAUUGGCAUGACAACAACAUAGCCAAUACCAUUAGUGAUAUCAAAAGGUAUAGUGAUGUCUAACAUUAGUUUUAAACGAAAGAAAAAAAGAAACUCCAAUACCAUCAUGGUCUUUUCACCAAUUCCCACCAGGACAGAUAAAAUCAAGGUAGGCCUAAGAGGGUACACAAAAACAACUGCUUCUAAGGAUAUAAUCACUUAUUUUCCAAACACUCUCUUAGAAAGUUCGCAAAAACAGAUUAUUAUUUCUUCACAAUGAGCCCAUGCAAACACACAAUAAGAUGGUUAUUUAAUUACACAUACGACAAAAAAAAAAAGGUACAGAAAGUGUCAUGAAUUCGUGAGUCAUGUGUGAAGUCACGGAGGAAGAAGACAUGUUCAUUUUUCUUUUAAAAGAAGUGCAUGAAGCACCAUAAGUAAGUCCAUGAACACUGGCAUGUAAACUAUAAUAAUAAUAAUUCACAGUCAUGGGAGAUAACAGAAAUAAAAACAUACCUCAGCAGUAAUUGUGUAACUUAUUUCCUUAUCACGAAUAUCUGAACACAACCAUAGUCAAUUGGAGAGAGUUAUACAUAAUAUACAACUAAGAAAAUUCGAGAACACGUUACCACAGUAAAAAUAGGGCUUAACCUUGUAUGUCUUGGAGAGUUUUGCACAAAGAACAUUGGGCGUACUCACUGGAAGGAACAAUUAGCAUUGUCCCACACAAAUGGCAAAAGAAAUCGAGUCUAGAGUAAUAAUACGCCAUCGAUUUUGGAGGUGAAAUACACAGUUUUGUGUGUAGCGCAGAGAAUACAGAGGACGAAGCUGCAAAAACCCUAACGUAUACUGACGAAACGAGGAUGAAACACUUUUUUACAAUUUCUAACAUUCACGUCACUACAUUAAUUAAGAGUUCAAUCAAACAAAAGACAAAUUUAUCUAAAUGAUGAUGAUGAUAUAGGGUCUGAAAACAAAUUCAGAGUUUAUAUUUCAUACCCCUAAGCCCAAAACAUCCAAUCCAGUUAAAUCAGAUUAAUAUUUCAAAUCAUACAUACCCCUGUUUACUCUAUGACCAUAUAUCAUUUACCUAGUUUUAAGCAAUUUUCAAUUCUCAUCUACUUUAUUUAAAUCAUAAUUAACACUGCAGCAAACUAGUUUCACCCAUCACAUUACACCACAUGGAUUCAGACACAUAAGCUCUCAUUCAAUUAAAACCAGUUUCUGAUAAACAACUCAUAUACAUUCAUUCUUUAAAAGCUACGUAAGGUAUUCUAGUAACACUUAACAUCAGUUUGAAUAUCAAUUAUUCAGUUCCCUUAUACCUAAUGUUGACCAUAAUCUGAACAUAAUUUUACAUAAUGAAUUAACCUAACACACAAUCAGACCUCAUUACCCCCUCUAACUUGUUAUUUUUAAUUUCAGAAUUUUUACACAUAUACAUUCCACUUAUGUGCAUCAACGCCAUUGCCAUAUAUUCAAAACAAAGUGGACUUGUCAUAUUUAAUAUUGUCUACCACUUUUAGCCAUAUCUUCAGAAUUGUAAAAUCCUCAGUAUAAAAAUUCAUUCUUACCAACACAACUCAUAUUUCUAAUACUUCAUAAUUAAGCAGUCAUUCAGUUGUAUCCCCUAAUUCAGCAUUAUACUGCAGUUUAUUCAUUAAUCAUAGAAUACAAUGUCCCAUUUCAUAUAUUGAGAACACUCAACUACAGAAACCUUACUCCACUCACCCACAUUCAUCAGAAAUAAUACAAUCAUACACAAAUUCAAUCACACAGAAUACCAUUACCGUUUUCCAGCAACAUAAACAUCAACCACAAGCACUCGAAUAACACGCCGAAAACAAAAAAAUCUAUGUGAAUCGGAUAUGGGGAACCGUUUCACACAGAUGUGCCAACCACAUUCAACCAAACAGCGACCAACCUGCAGUGAGCGAAAACUGGGUGCGUGUUUGUGUAUACUGGCGGCGCUAGUGCUCGAGCCUUGAAUGAAGCUCCCUCGAGACAGAAUGCACCACCUUUGCGAAGCUGUGGCUGCGGUGCGAAAUCUCGCUCCUGUGUGUGACGAUGGAAAGAGGAGGACGAAAGCAAAGGGAGAGGGAAAAGCGGCUAUGUGCCUCUGUGUGUGCUGGACAGAGGAAGAGGAAAGCACGAGCGGGGUGCUCUAUGUGUGGAAUAAUUGAGAGACCAAAAAAAGCCAAAAAAAAAAAUUGAGAUGAGGGCACUGUAAUUACCCAAAUAAUAUUAAGUGCUAACGUUGAGUUUCCCUUCGUGUUGCAAUUUUGAAAAGUUCACUGGGCUUAACUGGGCCAAUAGAUUCGGGCUUUCGUCCUGCAGCAUAAAUGGGUGUUGCUCCCUACACCUCUUCAAAAGAAACCUAUACCUUUCCACUAUUUAAAUCUCCCAACAAACUGUAUUUAGCAUAAAGUUAUUUACUGCGUUAUUUUAUCUAAAAAAUUAACCCAUCAAAAAGUCAUUUCUAUUGUAUAUAUUUUUGUAUAUACUUUUCAAAAACAUAAAUAAAAUAUAAGAAAACUUUAUUUUCACCACAUUAAAUUGUUAUAUAAAAUUUAUCAACAUAUUUCUGUUGAAAAAUUGAAUAGUUGAGAGGUUUAAAUUGCAAAUAAGGGGUGAGAACAGCAAUGCGCCCCGUGUAUGUUGCUUUCGGGAUCUCUCGGCCUACCUCGGUUAAAUUUUUUUUUUUAUUAAACACCAAUUUUGUUUAAAAUUAUUUGUAUUCAAAAGUAAAAACUGAUUAAUUGAUUUAAAAGAAAAAAUAAUAAUAUAAAAGUGGAUUAAAAAGCAAAUGAAAGAGAAACAUUUUUGCCUUGAAUAAUGUUUAGAAAAGGGUUUAAUAUGUGAGUAUUUUUGUACCAUAAGUACUUGAAUGAGAUGAAGAUGAUAUGAAAUAAAAAAGUAAUGAUAUUUUGGAGCAAUGAAUGAUUAGAUAGUGUGUGUGCUACAAAUAAAUUGGGUUGCAUGUGGAUAUUUAGGCAACCCACAUGCAAGAACAUGAGUACUAUCUUCCUCUUUUUCCUUUUUCCUUUUUCCUUUUUCCUUAGACAAUGCUUACACCACAUUCAAUGCGCCACCAAUAAUCUUAUACUUUAAACAUUCAAAUUUAUACAACCAUGGUUACAAUAACUGCUUUCAAAAUUACUACAUCAAACCUGUUCUGAUGUGAACAUGCUCUAAUUCCUGGAGACAAUUGCGUCCACUGUGUUUUAUACGAUCAGUUGCAUGUGCAUUGCACAUGUCUUUUCUAAUUAUUGCUUCUCAUGUUCAUCUUCAUUCAUGGAUUGGAAAUCACGUAUAAAAGUCAAGUUCGAACCUCUUCUACAUAUAUUUUGCUCUUCGUGUCCCACAACUUUUGCUCUAACACUCAUCUCACAAACUCUCCAUUUAUAGCUCAUCUCUUUCACCUUCUACGCGUAACAAUUUUCCAAACUUUUCUUUUAUUUUUAUAUUUCUAUUGCAGUUUUUUUAACAAACUUUUAUGUUUCAGAUAAAUCCACAAUGUACCAUGUCUAGACAUGGGAACAACGUUUGAAGAUGAUAUAUUCAUAUGAAUCUUUUAUUUUAUGUCUUCGUAUGACCAAUUGGAUAAACCGACAAUAACUUUCAGUUAGGCCAUUGAGAUUCAAACGAAUCAGGCACCAAGCUAGGAGAUGAUAAACCCAAAUGAUAAAGAUAUAUGUUAUUAUUAAUGAAAUCUUAAAGACUAAUUUAUAAUAUAUAAAUAGAAAUAAACGUUAUUUUAUCAACUAAUUUUAUGAAAUUAAAUUAGAUUUAAAGUCUAAAUAAAAUAAAAGUGAAAAACUAAUUCCAUGUCUUAUUCUCAUGGUAGUCAAAUAACAUAAACUAAAUGAUUAUUACUAGGUUUAAAAAAUACUAUUGAUAUGUUUCUAUGAGUUAAUUUGACUCUAAUUAGUAUAAAUAUUGUGGUUUUAUCACUUAAUUUGACUCUAAUUAAUAGACUACUAUUGAAAUGGUUCCAUUCCGGAUGAACUCUCCAUCGAAACUCGACCAAAUACUAAGUAAAAUUUUAAAAUUACCAUAGUACUUCUUCUUGCAAAUAAGAUAUGUAUAUGAAACGUUUAAUUAAGUAAAGUCUUGUUUAAACCUACUUUGUUAUAAAAUACGAGUUUGGUUAUUGUUAAUUUGAUUAACAGUUUUGGUGUUUAGACAUGACCUUAAGCAUUUCAGCCAUGACUCAAUUCUUUAUGUUUAACGAUUUUUUAAAUUGUAAAAAUUAUAUCAUAGUUCAUUAAAACAGUUGUACAAACAAUGAAUAAAAGCUUUACAAUUCACGUAAAGACAAUAAAAUAAUAAUUGGUAUGUGUAAUAAUGUGAUACAUGUACUUUGUUUGAAUAGUAAAAUGAUAAUGUGGACUACAGUACUGAUGUACAAUACAGAAUAUUUAAACACAAGUUAAUAUAAUAAAAAUAUCAGGAUGUUUAGCUUGAUUGAAAUUAUUUUCUGUUGUAGUUAUAGGGAAAAAAUUAUGCAAUACAAUUAUAAGGAUCUGUGUUUAUACAAAUUGAGAAAAGUCGGUUUUGUAUUUAAUGUUUUUAAAAUAAGUAAAAUUGUAAAAUAAAGAAUAAUUUAGAAGAUUAAUGAAUGUGUUCAAGUUCAUUUUUCUUAUAAAGUUUUAUCUAUCCGAAAAAGAAAAAGAAAAAACAUGAUAUCAGGGGAUGUAAAUUAUUAUCAUAUUUUCUUUUUAUGCUUGUGUCUGAUAUAAUUUUUUAAGUUAAUAUUUACGUGUAUAAUCCUUCGAAAAGUUGGUAUAUAUGGUGUUAUUAUUAUCAUAAAGCACAAUGGAAAUAUCUAUUACGUGUAUCGAUUGAAUUGUAAAUAACUGCAGAUAUAAAAAAAAAAAAAUUACUCAUAGUUCUUUUAAGUUAUUAUGUUUAAUUUUAGUUCAACUUUAAUUUUUCGAGUCAUAAUUGUUAAUAAUAUAAGAUAGAAAUAGUAAUGUUUAAAUUAAAAAUUAUGAUUAUAAAAGUAAACGAAGGUUUUCCAUGCAAAUUUAAAUUAUUUUACUUAAAAAAGAGAGUAAAUGAUUGAUAAGUCAAAUGACGGUGAACCGAGAAAUGAAAAAAGGUACACAUAAAAGAGAAAUAAAUUACAUAAUCUUUAAAUUACUAUUUUAAAUGGACUAUUUAUCAUUGUUAAUCUUUUCUUAAAAUUCUUAAAUUUUAGGGAAGUCAUUUUUUAAUAUAUUUUUCAUAUGAUACAUUCUUACUUAUACUGAAUAAGAUUAUUAUAAAAGACAGAUUUUUAGUAAUAUAUGUAUAUAGCAUUUUAAUAUAACUUAUCUGAAAAUAAAAAAUGGAGCAUUCAUAUAUUAGUUUUAGUAAUUUAUACAAAAAAAAUUAUAAAAAAUGCGCAAGAAAAAAGUGUAUUGUUUUCAUUUGUGAUAAAAUUACAUAUAUGUCCAGCUUAGUAGAGACGAGUGAAACAGAUGAUAGGAAUAAAACUACCGACUGAAAAUAAAUAAAAAUAAAAUAGAUAUUUGACUAAAAAACAAUUGAGAAGAAAAAAAUAUAGAGACACGAAAAUAAGUAAAAAAAAAAAAAUAGCGUAAUAAGUGCAUUGAGCGCAUAAUAGUGAAUUCGGCGCAGCUGGUGUCACGUGGUGGCACAUGCAAAACUGACAGACUGGGAAAGAGCAGAUUUCAUUUAUUGAGAAAGAGAAUGAUUUGAUUUUGUUUUUCCAGAAAAAAUAAAAUUAAAUAAAAUAAAUAAAAGGAAAAUGAAUUUGAAAGACUUGAUGAGCUUGACUUUCUGUAUCUAUGUGGGCCCAUUUGUCCAUUCCACUUUCAAAGUUUUUCCAUUCUCACCGUUCCCUCAAUCAAUGCUCCUUCUCUCUUACAUCAACAUUUUCCAUUUUAUUUAUAAACAAAUUCUCAACUACUUUUUCAAUAUCACAAAGAUACCACGUCAACAUUUUUAUUGAAUAUUAAUUUUAAAUUACUAAAUAGACAAAUGUAUAUAAUUAAAUUAGUAAUUAAUUUAAUUUAUAAAUAAUAGAAAAGGAGAGUCAGGAAAUUAUAAGAGAACAGAAAUUACAUUCAAACUAAACAUUUUAUUCUCAUAACCUAAAGUAGUAAAGUUAAGGGGACACGGACUUCAACCAAAACUGAAAAGAAAAAUAUCACCGGGACAAAAAAACAAAAUAAAAAAAAAAUUGCAAAUUCCGCAGAGUUUCUGUUAUUUCUAAUAAAAGGAUUUAUAUAUUUCUUAAAAUAUAAACUUAUACCCUUAAAUACAAACCAAUCACAAAAGAUAAUUUGGCUUAUAUAGUUCGUCCAGUAAACUAUUUUAUUAAGAUAAAUACAAGAAAAAUAAAAGAAUUCCACAAAAUCACAAAAUAUCAUAGCAACACUAAAAAAUAUUAUAACUUUUCUCUUCCAACAUUUACAUAUAGAAGACCUAGAAGAAAGAUAUAAAAGAGAAAUUUCUCAGCUUUAGUAAUCUUCAUCAAGUCUUUUAUAUAUAUAUAUAUAUAUAUAUAUAUCAAAACAAUUGUUAUCUUCAUUAAUAACCUAAAUUGGGUUUACAAUCUUGUAUUCAUGUUUAGACUUUUUAGUUAACAAAUAAGUGAUUACUAAGAAAAGACUUUCUUCUAAUAAAAUGUUAACUAGAAUGUCUAGAUUAAAAAAUAUCCAAUUUUUAUUAAGAAUGACGGCAUAAAGAAUAUUUGAAAUUUUGUUAAGAUUUAAGUAAUACUUGUCUUCUAUCUUAUAAUUUUAGUGAUAAUCUUAUUUUUUACCUUUUAUUGAUAUUAAAUUUUGUAAAUAAAAUCAAUUUCUUCAUAUUUUUUAUAUUCUUUAAUUUUUAAGUUUAUUUUGUUUUUUAUUCUUAUUUUAUUUUAGUUAUUUUAAGUUUUUUUUUUCUAAUUUCUAUUCUGAAAUAAGUUAAUAAAUGAAAAACUGAUUGAAACUCAAAAAAUAUAUGAUUGGAUAAGGUAUAAUAUUUUUUUUGACAAAAAUCCCACAUAGAAGGCAUUAGAACCACAUCCAACGCCAUGAAGAAAGUGUACUAAAAAUGCUGACAAAAACUUAAAUCACAAAUUUUUUUAAGGCGUAUAGAUCAUUGUCUUUAAGGAUUUACCUGCGGUAUAUUGCGCAAGCCCCCAAGAUACAACAGGAAUUUGACAAAAUAUUUCUGAAAAUCUUAGAACUAGCAAGGAUCUCUAAAAAGAGUAUAAAAUAAACCCAGAAUAAUUUUAGAAGAGGAAAAAACAAGAAAGAGAGAAAACUGCUUUUGGUGUGUUUUGGAACCGAAGAAAAACUCUUUAUUUAUAGAGUUAGGAAAGAAUAAAAAAAAAAUAAUAAUAAUCAAUGAUUUUAAUGUUGCAAAUUUAUUUGACAUUGCAAAAUUUAGCAUAUUACCUUUGAGCAAUGUCUCUUUUGCAAUAAUCUAACAUUAUUACAACAAUAAGGACUCACAUGUAAAGCUAUAGUGCCAUGGAACGCUCUUGGAAGACCAAAAAAGCAUCAUUGGCCGCUAAGUUAAGUCGUUGGGCAAGCUAGCUACUCGUUAGGCGAAAAUGGCAGCCCAAACUUUCAGUACUGGAAUCAUUUAGAAAAUAAUAUGGUACACCCAACAAGUUACAAGUUAGAGAGUGUCGAUUUUUAGGUCUCGUUGGUCAAGAAUGAAAUCGUUGGGAGAUUCUGUUGGCCUUGAUACGCGAAAGUGAGUAUUUAAUCAUGUUUUCACAAGAGUUUUGGGCAUUCCUUAUUUUUACAUGAAUAAAAUCACCUAAGAUGAUUGUGAGAAACUCUUUGAGGUUGUUUGGAGUACUGAGAAACUCUUCCUCUCAUCCUUUAGUUUCUUCCUUCACCCAUGGUGUUUUUUUCCCUUUUGGGGUUGGAGAGGAAGAUUAUUACAUAUUUAGAAAUGCAAAGGAGAUGUGUGAUUGAACCUUGGAGUAGCUACUAGGUGCCUUAGGAAAAAGUCUUCAUCUACUUUAUGAUUUCAAUUUUUUCUCUAUCUUUUGUCUUCAUCUACUUUAUGAUUUCAAUUUUUUCUUUAUCUUUUCAAAUUGUAAACCUUGGGUUCUCCACCAUGGAGAGAUAUUUCUAUUUGUUGAUAUAAAACAUAUUAUUGCGUAAAAUUGUGUUGUUGACAUGUACAUACGUUUUCAAUUCAAGAUAAUAUUUAAUUUCUAUGCUUAAUGCUUGAUGUGGAUUGUUAUGAGUCUUGAGGUGUUGAGAAAUAUCUUUAGAAUUUGGACUUGAAAUUUAAUGGUUAAUGGAUGUUCGUAUCUAGGAAUAAAACUUGGUUUAUUUGAAAUUAAUGUAUGAUUUUAUACUUGACAAGUGAUCAUAUGUUCAAUACACUAAAAAUAGAAUUUAAAUAUAUUGAUGAGUUGAUUUUGAUUUGAAUAUGAAAUUAAGACAUUUUUAAAUACAUGAAAGUAGACUAGAUAAAAUCUAAUCUUAAUAUUUGCAAAAUAGUUUAUUUUAAAUUUUUUGUUACAUACAAAUUGAAUUUUCAUUAUAUUUUUAUGAACUUUGUUAUAUAAUUAAAAUAUUUAGUGUAAAAGUUAUUGAAUGUAUGAAUAAAUUUUUUGAAAAAUAAUGAUAUUUAUCAGCGACCAGUAAUCUAAAUUUUUAAACCUAUUAAUAUAAAACUAACGAGAGUUUUACUAAAAAUAAGUUUGAAAAGUGUAUAUAAUUACGUGUGCUAAUCUUUAUCAGAAACUAUACUGUUACGUAAACUUCUUAACAAUGUGGUAACUGAAAGUUUUAUUUGACUACCUUUAUCAAAUGUUGAUAUGUGUAAAUUUUCCAAAGCUUUAUAUACAUAAUUUAACCCUUUUUUAUUGUGCAUUUCACUUGUUUUGACAUACUUAUAUUUGGUUCUUAGUUUCUUAACUUUUCUUCUUUUGUUGUUUAAUUGUUCAAUUUAUUCCAAAUUCAUAAAGAUUAAUCUAAUCUCAUACUUUUUUUUCUUAUCUUAACCUUCGUUAAAUUUUAUUUGAAAAAUAUUUCUUUUAAUAAAAAAAUUUAUUUUCUUUUGGUUGUCUUCCUUAAAUUUACUCAUAUCUCGGAUGUACUUUUCUUCUUAUUAUAAUAUUAAUUAUAUAUUGAAAUGGUAUAUUACAUUUCAAGAAAUACACUUUUAAAUUUUAUUGAAUAAAAUAAUUUCUACAAAAGAUAUUUACUCAUUUUUAUUCAAUUUUUAUUUAUUAAUCUAAAUUGAUAUUCAUGUAGUUAUAAUUUUUAUAUUUAACAUUAAAAAGAGUAUCUUUUUAACGUUGAUUUUUUUAUAAUAUUGUGUUUACUUUGUAAUUUUUAUUUUUUAUAAAAGUUUAGUUAAUUAAUUUUUAAAAUUAUAUAAAAGAGUAUGAGAAUACUUAUUAUUUGAUGGAAGAUGAGGAUGGCAAAAAUUUAUAACUAUUAAUAUAAGAAGAAUGAUGAGGAUAAAAUUUUGCUAUAAGGAUAAAGACAAUGAGAUCAAAAGUAUCAUGUGAAAACAUUGUGUUAGAGGUGGAAGAAGUAAUGUCCUAACAAGAUCAAGAGGAUAAAGAGAUUAUACAUAAAAAUAAAUAAGAGACACAAAAAUAACAAUAAUUUUAAAUUCUUAACUUUUUUUUUAUAUGAAAUUUAAAAUUUUAUUUUUAGAUUAUUGAAUUCCUCUCAUAAAUUUUAAAAUAUGUUUUUUUUUUCUAAGUGUUUCUUAUUAAUACAAUUUAUUUACUUCAAAACAUUUUAAGUUCUGCAUAAAAGUAAAUUAUCAUCUAAAAAUUCACACUAGGUAUUAUUUUGUUUAUUUUUUUUUCCUAUUCAUCCAUACGAAUUAUGGAGCGUGCAUGUCUUUUAAGAGUGUUAGUUUUUAGGAGCAGCAAACAUGCGGCUAUGUUCCAAGUUGCUUAGCAUUUCCUAAUUAAAAUAAUGUAUUUCGUAGACCGUACGAUCCGAUCUAAUGUAAUUUGCAUCACCGUCAUGAUAUUUGUGCUGACACACGUGUCAGACGUUGGUUCUCCAAAUUGAGGACAACUUUCUACUUCUAAAUGCACCCAAUAAAUGUUGCAUCAAUCCCUACCCUUGAAUGCUUCUAUAAAUACCCCACCAUCAUUUGCUUUCGGAUCCCAGCAUCUCCUCAAACAUCCCUCUUGUUUCUUGGUCUUGAUUCGUGAUUCAGAAAGAAGGUUCUGCCAAAUCAAGAGGGGUAUUCUGAUCAUAGUGUGUGUGUGCAACAAUGGCUAUGGCUAAGUUCCUUGCAGCUAUGAUCUUGGCACUCAUUGCCAUUUCCAUGCUUCAAACCGUGGUUGGUCUUUAACAAUGUCUAAGAACCAGACACAUUUAAUGUUUUUCAUGUUUUGGUACCACUAGCGUACUAGUGUUGAGAGAUUGAAGGCUUCUUACACUUUUAAUGGCUUUAUUUUUCAGGUUAUGGCUGCAAAUGGGCAUGGAGACCACCUGAAUGAUAACAAGGUAUGCUGCAUCUCUUUCUCUCUGGUUUUGUGAAGAAUGAAAAAUGGGGUCUAGGGAUUUUGCUUUCUAAGGGGUGAAUCAGUGCUGAUUUAUGCUGUUUGUUUCUGCAGAGCAAAUAUGGAAGUGGGAGUCUCAAGAGUUACCGUAAGUAAACUUCAUUUCUUCAACUUGUCUUUUUAUGGCAUCAAGCAAUGUAUAUAUGUCAACAGAUUUCUCCAACUCCAAACUUUGCAUAUAAAAAAUGGUGGCGACACUGAGAAUGGAAGAAGGAAAAUUUUUAAGAACAUUCCCAAAAAGCUCUCAGUGCAGAUCUUGGAUUGUUAUUUUCCUAUUAUUUUUUUCAUUUAAGCCAAAUUAUGCUCACAUGAUUCUCUACCUCUCUUUUCAAUGCUCUUAACUAACCAAACCGACAUAUAAUAUUAUUUGUACUUUUUUUAUAAAUUAAAAAAAAAAAAAGUUCUACAAUUUUAUUAUUGUUACAUCUCUCUUCACUGUCAAUUUUAGUUUGACUGUGGUCAAUUUUUUUCCAAUAAAAGCUGCAUUUUUUUAGUGUUUUGACUGAUGUGUGAAAAGAGAGGAGUCAAAGAGCUAUUGAUUACUGGAUUGACCAUACCGGUUGCCUCUUUUGUUUCUUACCAAUGCUCAAUAUGUCUCUUUUGGGAAUAUGAAAUGACCAGAAUGCCCAUCACAAUGCUCGAGGAGAUGCAACAAGACCCAAUACCACAAGCCCUGCAUGUUUUUCUGUCAGAAGUGCUGCAGGAAGUGCCUGUGUGUUCCUCCGGGUUAUUAUGGUAAUAAGGCUGUGUGCCCUUGCUACAACAACUGGAAGACCAAGGAGGGAGGACCCAAGUGCCCUUGAGCUUCAACCUCAUCAACAUCAAAUGUUGCUUUCUUAUAUAUUUAUCACUUCCUUCAUUGUUCCAUUUAAGGCACUAGCUUACUUCCCUACUAUUCACAUGUCCUAACUAAAUGAUAUAGCCCCUUGUGGUGGCACUAUGAUGUAUGUUUUCUUAUGAAUUUUGGGAUGUCCUCCCUCUAAGGACCACAUCCGUAGUAUCACUCCUUAGGACUUGCUUUCCUUUCAUGUGAGUGGCUUACUUAUAUCAAUACAUCAUCUGUGGAACUUAUUUCUAGUUUAAUGUCUUAUAAUUUUGGAAUCAAUGGGGGCUUCGGUGAUGCAUUGAAUCAUUGAAUAGAUAAUUGGGUUACUUCAUUCUUAUUACAAAGAGCAAUCUUUUUUCCCUGUCAGAGUAGUGUAGUUUCUUCUUUACAAGGUCCCUAUUUAUUACCAGAUAGGUGUGCAUGUGAUAAGGCAAAAGUGAUGCUCUUGCUC